rnacentral:lncRNA from 1 species
UGCGCACACAGCUCCACGGGAAUUUGGUGGGGGCACAUCGAAGCAAGAUGUGAUUAGCGUCUUUCGACAUACCACACAAAACACAACAUCCAUUGCAUGGGCCGUUGCAUUUUUUAAGGUGGAUAGCAGAAGGUAGACAGUCCUAAGCCGCUUGCUAGAGGAGAGUUUGUACUCUAGGGGGCACCCAAGAAGCCCAAAGUGCCAUGGUAUACCAGAUAUUAGGCCCACGAACCAGCUUGGCAUAGGUAGAUUUGACCGAGAAUUGAACCGACGACUCCAGCUCCGAGCUGAUGGAAUCUUGGUCCCCACCAAGGGAAACACGUUCUAUGGGGGAAUGCGAUCUGACAACGCCCAUGUCAGUGAUACCAGAAGCAAGCACUUCACUCACAAGAGCCCGAGGCUCGGCCGUAAUGACAAACAUGGUAGGGAGUAAGGCAUAGAGGGGCUUGUCUGAAAUGUUCAAUGUGUUGGCAAAAAAAGAAAUUUCUUUUAGUGAUAGACACAUAGCGCAUGGACGAUUUUAGUUCAUCAGUGUUCGAGUUUCUCGAGCCAUGUCUUCGAUAAACGCCAUGUGAGUCCGUACGUGUGGUGUUUUUUUAGAGAAAAAUGUAGUUGCCCAUCUUUAUAGAUACUACUAUAUCGAUAACUUCACUCAAGAAGAUGGAUAAUACAAUGCCAAGGUUCACAUGCAAACAUAGCAAAGUGAAAACCUAUUGAACAUCCUGCCGUUGCAUUGCCAUUGUGACUAAGGAUUUGGUCCCUAGCUAGGAAACGUAACAUGAUUGUAUGCCAAAGAAAAUAAGUUUAUCUUAACUGGAAUACGGGCCGCCGAACAUCUAUGAACUGGUUAGGACGUGCCCCUGCACCAUUUUCAAAUAAAGGGACCUGACUAAGAAUUCGCCAGAAGAAUAAUGUGGCCACAAGAUCUGAUCUAGAGUCUCCUAGAGGGAAGAAAAAGGGCAGUGAGGUCUUGCCAGUUUGUCAUCUAUUUUGGAUACGAAAACUGUCGUAGACCAAGGUCCCAAUUUUUAGUCACGAGGGGGGCCUCUUGGUUGGAACAAUGGAUUAACAGAAUAGGGAAAGAACGACUAGGUGGCCAUUCCCCUACCACCAAUAAAAAAGUCGAACUAAGUUCCCUAAGCCAACCUCAAACUUGAGCAAGCCGCAAAAUUCCUCACAAAAUUUCAUCAAAUACUUCCAAAAUUGAAUUGAGAACCUCCCCUAGAAUUAGCAUUGAGUGGCGCCAUGUCAGGAAAAUAUUAGCUUUGAGAAUAUGAAGCCAGACAAAAUGUAGGGAAUUGUGAUGAAUGUGCCACCAGCACUUCAUGAUUAAGCACUUAUUCAUAAUGGAUGUGUUCAUAAUGCCCAAAUAUCCAUUGGUUUUGGGUCUACACAUAAUAAUCCAAUUAACUACCCUAUAUUUCUUGUUAUCAACAUUGUUCUAGUAGAAAGCACUACGAUUUCUAUCAAAACUAGCAUGAUUCCAUUCAGAGAUCAGACAGAAACUCAUGAUGUAGGUAGGAAAGCUAGAGAAGCAAGAAUCAAUAAUAAUGACUUUUCCUCCACAGGAAUUAUGGUGUUGUGCCAACGAGCCACACGAGAUCCAGCCUUGAGCACAGUAGGGCAAAAAUUCGCCAUUGUAAGUUCAAACAAUGAUAAUAUAAUCCCAAGAUACUUGGUCGAGAAGGAGCCCAGCCUACAAUCCACAAGGUUGGUGUUGCAAGUACAUUCAAGAGGAGGACAUCCAAGGACAAAGGCCACACCCUUGUUGACACUAGUGGAACAACGGCUAGCCACAACUUUAGUUGGUGGCGCGCCAUUUUUCAUCAACGCUAGCACUAUUUGAAAAAAAUAGUGCUGGCGUGGGCAUAAUUAGCACGUCAGCUUUACAUGUUUAGUGUUGGCAUAGCUUUUUCUAGACACGCCACAAAUCUGUUGGCAUAUGUACUCACCGUUUAGAAUAUAGUGGUGGCGUUGGUUUUGUAUGCACGCCAUAGUUAAUUUGUUAGUGCUGGCAUUUGUUUUCUAUGCACGCCAGAAACAAUUUUCCCAUUUUAUCAAGUGUUUUAAGUAUUUAAUGAUUAUACUAGUCACAAAAUAUGUACUCACCAUUAUUUUUAGUGUUUUUAUCAUUUUAGGACUUUUAUUUCUUUACCACUAGUUCAAAUAUUAAGUAUUUUAUUUUGUCAAGUCUUUCAUUAAUCUUAGUCUUUUUUUAUUUGGGUUGUUAUUAGCUAUGGCGUUGCUCUUUUGUCCCACACCAGCAAUAGCCGACCUGAGUCAACUUAGUAAAAGACCUAACUCAUCGUACUCUCUCAUUUCAUACCCCAUCCCGGACGUAUACAACUCCCCUCAACCAAAGCUGCCGCCACCGCCUCGUCGCCGCCCCCGUCGCCCCCCUCACCAGCACCAAGGUUCGAUCCACUACUCCUCCCAUCGCAUCUCCUUCCCCUCCACUCCAGCGUCCUCCGUCCGCGGACACACCACAUGGGAUCCAUUGGGAUUCAUGUAGUUGAUUUAGGGGAUUGCUUUAAUUUGUGUAGAAAUUUUAGUGAUUAUCUCGAUUAGUAUUGUGUAGAAUCCCAAAGUUAGUUGCAUGGAUUGCUUUGUGUAGAGAUUUUAGUGAUAAUCCGAUUGAUAUUGUGUAGAAUCCGAUAUUUAUAAUGCAUUUUGAUUAGAAAUAUUUUGAGUGUCUAGAUUAUUAGGAACAAAUAAAAUGAACUCCUAUAAUUACUAGUGUCGAAUUUGUUUAUUUGUGUCUCCCUCCGUAGAUUAUAUUUAUUUGUGUGUACAAUUACUAAUGUAGAAUUAUAUACUUAGUUUUCAAUAUAUUUUGUGUAAAAUGAACUCCAAUUAUGUUUAGUAGAAAUUGAUUUACUAGUGUAAAAAUUGAUUAUAUACUUAGUUUCAAUUAUAUUUUGUGUAGAAUGGCGCAGCCGCCACCAUGUCUAGUGUGCAAGUCAAGGUGUGCAACCAACCUUGCAAGUGGCACGCUGUUUGGCAUGUACUUCCAGCCGUGCUUUGUUCAUGUAGCGGUAACACAAUACACGAACCUCCUAAUAGUUAGUUCUUUUGUUUUUCUUGCUAUUUCCAGUAAUGCAAUGUGUUUACUUUUUGGUUUUUCUUACACAGAUCAUCCCUUGCAAUGUGAGAUUGGAGUUCAAUGACCUUAUUACCCAAGAAACUGUGAUCUCCGACGCUCUUGGAGGGCCCUACACUAUGGAGGUCCACAAGGGAUGAAUGAUAUCCCAGAUUGGAGGAGAUGAAUGGGAUCGUUUCAUUGCCCACAUGCAUCUCACUGGGGUGAACUGACCAGCUUCUCCUUCAGAAGACAAAAUCGAAGGCUGGUUGUUAUCUACCUCAACUCAAAGGGCGAAAAUGAUGAGGACCCACUUGAUGAAGCCCUCUAUGCCCAAUGGAUUAGGCUGAGUGAGGACGAAUCGGUCUACCUCUGGUACAUACUUUGUAGCGACCGACCCGAAUGGAUCAAAGUCUCUGUGCAUAAGUGUCAUCCCUGUAUCGGUAUGCUGACACAUACAGUACUCGAGGAUUUAUAAUAGAGGUAAAUCACAUGUAUAAAGUAACGUAAAUACUAUUACCUCAAUCCAAAUAGCGGAAGUAACAACAAGGUUGUGGAGUCCCAACAACACCAACGGCAAAGUUGAGUGUAGACAUCGUAACCCUAACGUAUCACUUACUCGUCGUAAGAAUCCUGCAACAUUGCAUCCACAAAGGGUCAGUACAUUGAAUGUACUAGCAAAUUCACACCAUAGAGCAAUGAUGAAUAAAGCUAUCACUACAUGCAUAUUUGGUUGGUGGAGGCUCUAAGUUUAUUUUUGCAUAAAGCCAAAUUUUCCCUACAACAAAGAAUAUAUUUUUAUUUAACUACAAAGUUUGUUGAAAACAUUGAGAAGGUAACCCCAACUCAAUCCCAAAAUAAUAUUAAUAACCCAACAAAUUUAUUUAAGUAAAGUGAUGAGAUCAAAUCAAUAAUCCAAGUACCAGAUACUCAAGAUGUCCAUAACCGGGGACAUGGCUAAUCAUGAUUAGUUUGUACACUCUGCAGAGGUUUGCGCACUUUUCCCCACAAGACUCGAUCUCCUUUGUUGGUUUUCUCGCACUACAUGGUGUUUGAGAAACGGAUGACCGAGACACAGUCUUUCAGAAGCAUUAACUCUUACGAUGGGUAGACCGUACCACCUACAUCCCCUACAUCUGCUAGUCUACCACUGUAAGAGGUCACACAACAUACUCAACUAUGCCAGAGCCCAUAAUGGCUUGUGGCUGCACACAGAAGUUUCUAGCAUGAAUAAUCUUAUGAUCCCUUUGAGCCUGGGUGGCAUUCCAAUAGGAUGAUCACACGGAUACCCCGGGAUCUCCUAGGACAACACUGGAUUCCCCAGGUGUCCAGGCAAUCCACUGGUAUCCCCGGGGUGCCCCAACCAAUCCACCCAGAUGUGUAUUAAAGUAGCCACCUUAAGUUUAAACCUUAGUUUAACAAUAACUCUCACAUCUUUCAUGGAUUCUCUCAAACCAAACCACGUCUACGAGCAUAGCAUAGCAGUAUAAGCAUAACGUAGUAACCCCCAAGGGUUGAAUAUAAGACAAUACGUUCUACCUCAUCAGCUACUUCCCAAUACCCACAUGUUAUCAAAUCCUAACCAUGCAAUGUUUGAGGAUUGAAACUAAUGCAUAAAAACUGGCUAAUAAAGGGAUAUGAUCAAAGUGUGAACUUGCCUUGUACUAUUGAUGAAGAUGAUUCACGCUCAUAACUCUGAUAGUUCUACUCGUCACACUCCGAUCAAUCUAUCAUAAGCAAGCAAUUGCAUACAUAAGCACUCAUGCAAAAGAAUCGAAGAAAAGAUCUCGAAAAACUUCAAAAACAAGCAAUUAACUCUUGAAACAGAAAACAAUUUCUAACAGUACCAAAAUUGGGUAAAUUUGGCCUUAUCAGAAAUUUUAGGUCAAGAGCAUCGAUUUGCGAAAAGGAUCAAUUAAAUCAGAGUUAUAAAACUCGAGUUAUGAACAAAAGAAGUUCAAACUCAAAUCUGUUUGAAAAAAAUUAAACUUUCAAAAAUAUAUUUUAAGUUGUUUUACUGGAUAAAGGGGAUCAUAACGAAGAAGUGGACGUUGGUUUCGUUGGAUUUGGAUAAGCGAGCAAAAAGUUGUGAGGGUUUGAAGAUCAGGGGCUAAACUGUAAGUAAACUAAUUGCGGAUAGGUUCCUGACUAAAACUAAUAGAAAAGAAAAAGACUAAAUAACGAACGUUCGUUUUCUGAAACAGAAAAGCGGACGUACACUGAAUAACUAAACCUAAAAAACAGAUCUAGGUUUUUCUAAAAAAACCGAACUAAACCGGUGAACUAAAAAUAAACUUCACUGGCGGCGGUUUAUUACCGGUCGGCGGUUUGGGCGGUUUUGGCGAGAAAACCGACGGCGGCGGCGGUGAACUCCAGCGACNNNNNNNNNNNNNNNNNNNNNNNNNNNNNNNNNNNNNNNNNNNNNNNNNNNNNNNNNNNNNNNNNNNNNNNNNNNNNNNNNNNNNNNNNNNNNNNNNNNNNNNNNNNNNNNNNNNNNNNNNNNNNNNNNNNNNNNNNNNNNNNNNNNNNNNNNNNNNNNNNNNNNNNNNNNNNNNNNNNNNNNNNNNNNNNNNNNNNNNNNNNNNNNNNNNNNNNNNNNNNNNNNNNNNNNNNNNNNNNNNNNNNNNNNNNNNNNNNNNNNNNNNNNNNNNNNNNNNNNNNNNNNNNNNNNNNNNNNNNNNNNNNNNNNNNNNNNNNNGGCAAGGAGCGGUGGCGGGAUGCGGCGCGGACGGGGUCCGGGGGGGGCCGGGUCGCAGCUUAUAAAGGGGGGGGGGCGAGCGGCCUCGGGAGGCGUGGAGGAGGGGCCAAGGCGGGGCGGCUGGAUCGGAGUCUUGAUUGGAAACGACUGCGGCGGCGUCGUGCGGGAUCCGGCCUCCGGCUCGAGGUCGGGGACGGCGCGGCUGGGCUGGGCCAGCCCAGUUCGGCGAGAAGAAGUUUUUUUAAAUAAUUUUUUACUAACAACAAAAAUACAAACAAACAACAAAUAAUAAAAAUUAUAUAUGGGCAUAUUAUAUAUCAAAAAAAUUCGGAAAAAGAUUUUCUACAACAUGAACAUUUUUAACAUGAAAUAAAUUUUACAAAAAGUUAAAUAAAACAAAGAGUGCUAAAACUAUAAUAAAACCCAAUAAAAAUCAUUUUAAAAAUACCAAAAUGAUUUCAAAUUUAUUUCUCUUCAAUUUUUUGAUGUAGGGAAUCAUUUUACCCUAUUUUCCAUAUAUUUUAUUUUUGGAGAAAAAUAAUUUGAAUAAAACCCAAAUAACUCCAAAUUGAAAAAUAAUUUCAAAGGGAUUUUCAGUUUGAUUCUUUGAAACUUCCAACUCAUAUUUCAUAUGGUUUGAAGAAGUCAUUUUAUCUUCUCCCAUGAAAAUUAUUGAGUUGCAUAAAGUUUCUGAAUUUGAAAUAUUUCCAAAUGAAAUUCAAAUAUUUUCAGAACCCUUUUCAUUUUAAAAGGAAUAAGUCAUGACAUCUUCUCUCUAGGGUUUUGUAUCUCAAAAGAAUUUGAGUUCAUGGAGAUCAGAAAGCAAAGGUGAAAGUUUGGGAAAGUCCUUUUAUUCCCUCUUAUUCACUUUCAAAGAGUUUCAAAUUUCACUCAAUUUCACACAAACAAUCAUACAAUCAAUCAAAACUAUCUAUUUAAUAUAACAUUCCAAAAUUUAGAAUUUUGGGAUGUUACAUACUUCCUCCACCUGUUGACUACGUCGGGAUGCAAUCCCUGACCUGCCUAACAAGGACAAAUGUUAACCGCCAUGUCAUGGUAUGUUACUUAGUGUAGAAAUUUGAUAUGCUUAGUGUAGAAUUUGAUGAUAUGCUUAGUGUUUGUAGUAAUGUGAUAUGCUUAGUUUACUAAUGUUAUGGUAUGCUUAGCGUGUAGUAAUGUGAUAUGCUUAGUGUACUAAUGUGUUGUGAUAUGCUUAGUGUAGAAUUUGACGAUAAGCUUAGUGUGUAGUAAUGUCAUAAGCUUAGUGUAGAAUGUGAUGAUAUCCUUAGUGUAUAGUAAUGUGAGAUGCUCAUUUAUCAUAUUUUUUUAAGAAAUUAGCUAAGAGGUUAAGUGAGAGAUGUGUCAUCGAGCGAGAUGAAGCAGGCAUUGUUGGACUAUGCCUUACCGCAAGGGGCUCCAUUACCAACUGUGCUUACGAAGUGGACACGGACAGUUGCACUGUCUUCAGCGCCGUGGGGUGAGGACCGACAAGUAUAGGGGAUCUAUCAUAGUCCUUUAGGUAAGUAAGAAUGUUGAACCCAACGAGGAGCAGAAGGAAAUGACAAGCGAUUUUCAGCAAGGUAUUCUUUGCAAGCACUAAAAUUAUCGGUAACAGAUAGUUUUGUGAUAAGAUAAUUUGUAACGGGUAACAAGUAAAGAGUGUAACUAAGGUGCAGCAAGGUGGCCCAAUCCUUUUAAUAGCAAAGGAUAAGCCUGGACGAACUCUUAUAUAAAGCAAAGCGCUCCCGAGGACACAUGGGAAUUAUUGUCAAGUUAGAUUUCAUCAUGCUCAUAUGAUUCGUGUUCGUUACUUUGAUAAUUUGAUAUGUGGGCGGACCGGUGCUUGGGUGCUGUCCUUACUUGGACAGGCCUCCCACUUAUGAUUAACCCCACUCGCAAGCAUCCGCGACUACCAAAGAAGAAUUAAGAUAAAUCUAACCAUAGCAUGAAACAUGUGGAUCCAGAUCAUCCCCUUACGAAGCAACACAUAAACUAGGGUUUAAGCUUUUGUCACUCUAGCAACCCAUCAUCUACUUAUUACUUCCCAAUGCCUUCCCCUAGGCCCAAAUCAUGGUGAAGUGUCAUGUAGUCGACGUUCACAUAACACCACUAGAGGAAAGACAACAUACAUCUCAUCAAAAUAUCGAACGAAUAACAAAUUCACAUGAUUACUUAUAACAAGACUUCUCGCAUGUCCUCAGGAAAAAACUUAACUCCUCACAAAGCAUAUUCGUGUUCAUAAUCAGAGGGGUAUUGAAUAUCAUUAAGGAUCUGAACAUAUGGUUUUCCACCAAAUAAACGGACUAGCAUCAACUACAAGGAGUAAUCAACACUAUUAAAUCUGAGGUUUUGAGACAAAGAUCGAGUGCAAGAGAUGAACUAGGGUUUGAGAGGAGAUAGUGCUGGUGAAGAUGUUGAUGGAGAUUGACCCCCUCUCGAUGAGAGGAUCAUUGGUGAUGACGAUGGCUUCGAUUUCCACCUCCCGGAGGGAAGUUCCCACGGCAGAACAGCUGCGCCGGAGCCCUAGAUUGCUUCUGCCAAGGUUCCGCCUCGAGACGGCGGUGCUUCGUCCCGAAAGCUUCCUUAUGUUUUUCUAGGUCCAAACGCUUCAUAUAUAGCAGAAGAUAGGCACCGGAGACCUGCCAAGGGGCCCACAAGCCCUAGGGGCGCGCCCAGGGGGUAGGGCGCGCCCCCCAGGCUUGUGGCCACCUGGUGGGUCCCCUCUGGUAUUUUCUUCGCCCAAUAUUCUUUAUAUAUUCCAAAAUAAUUCUCCGUAAAUUUUUAGGACUUUUAGAGUUGUGCAGGAUAGGUCUCUCAAAUUUGCUCCUUUUCGGUCCAGAAUUCCAGCUGUCGGCAUUCUCCCUCUUUAUGUAAACCUUGUAAAAUAAGAGAGAAAAGGCAUAAUUGUACUAUAGUGUGUAAUAACAGCCCAUAAUGCAAUAAAUAUCAACAUAAAAGCAUGAUGCAAAAUGGACAUAUCAACUCCCCCAAGCUUAGACCUCGCUUGUCCUCAAGCGAAAACCAAAAUCGAUAAUCAUGUCCACAUGUUUAGAGAUGGAGGUGUCGAUAAAAUAAAAUACGGACAUGAGGGUAGCAUGAUCAUUUUUAAAACAACAACAUAUAUUGUCAUAUAAUUUCUUAUGCUAAAGUAACAAUUCGUUCACAAGGUAAAGCAUGAAUUAGAAACUUUAAUGAAAACUAACAAACUAUGAUCUCAGUCACUGAAGCAAUUGCAAUUUAUCAUAAUAUCAGAAAAAGUCAAUGUAAGACCUUUUGUAUAGCAAGUCCACAUACUCAACCAUCUUUUAGUCUUUUAUAAUUGCUAACACUCACGCGAUACUUAUGAGAUCAAAGCCUCAGUCGGACAUAGAGAAAGAUAGGGGCUUAUAGUUUCACCACCCAACCUUUUGCCUCGAGGGUAAUGUCAAUAAUAAUACUUUAUGAUAACCUACAUCCGAGUGGGUAUAUAUAUCUGGAUCUUUCCCCAACAUAUAGUGCUUGCCAAAAAGAAAAAGUGUAAAAAGGAAAGAUGAAGAUCACCAUGACUUGUAUAGAGGUAGAAGGUAAAAGUAAAAGAUAGGCCCUUCGUAGAGGGAAGCAGAGGUUGUCAUGCGCUUUUAUGGUUGGAUGCACACAAUCUUAAUGGAAAAGAAUGUCACUUUAUAUUGCCGCUUGUGAUAAAGAACUUUAUUAUGUAGUCUGUCGCUUUUAUUUCUUCCAUAUCACAAGUUCGUAUAAAGAUUAUUGUCUUUACACUAAAAGAUCAUACAUAUUUAGAGAGCAAUUUUUAUUGCUUGCACCGAUGACAACUUACUUGAAGGAUCUUACUCAAUCCAUAGGUAGAUAUAGUGGACUCUCAUGGCAAAACUGGGUUAAAUGAUGUUUGGAUGCACAAGUAGUAUCUCUACUUGGUGCAAAAGAUUUAUCUAGCAUAGGAGGGGAAGCAAGCUUAACAUGUUGGAGGAUCCAUGACAAUAUAACUUCUAUUCGGAUAUAAGAAAGCAUAACCCAUUAUGUUGUCUUCCUUGUCCAACAUCAAGCUUUUAGCAUGUAAUAUUUUAAUUAGUGCUCACAAUCACAAAAGAUGUCCAAGAUAGUAUAUUUGUACGUGAAACCUCUCUUUCUUUAUUACUUCAUAUUAAUUGCAACAAUGACCAAAACUAUGUUGAUCAACUCUCAACAAAUCUUAUUCAUCAUACUCUUUAUAUGUGAAUUCAUCACUCUCCAUAAGAUCAUUAUAUAAUCUUUUUACUUCUUUUAUUCCUUUUCUUUUUCUCAAGAUCAAAGCAAGAAAGUAAAGCCGUUAACUCAAUACUACUCUUUAUUAUAUAACUCACAGACUCGAUUACAUAGAUAGAUCAUAAAGCAGAACUCAAAGACUAAAUCAUACUAAAAACUUUUAUUCUACUAGAUCAAGAUAUAUCCAACAGGAUCAAACUGAGAAAAACGAUAAAGGUAGAGAUUUGAUGGUGAUACGAUACCGGGACACCUCCCCCAAGCUUGGCACAAACCAAGAGGAGUGCACAUACCCAUAUACUCAAGUCUCCUUCUUCGGAGGUGAUGGUGGUGAUGAGGUUGAUGAUGUUGUGGGCUUGUCCUCCAUUUUCCAAGGCAUAGGUUCACCAUCCUAAAAAGAUGAAUGAGUCUCUGGGACCCUCAAAUCUGCAGCCAAACUCAUCCUCUUUAAUCUGUAUUCAUACACACAGUUUUGGUUUUGCAGGUCAUAGAUCUGGGAUUGGACAUGCUCGGUUUUUUCAUGAAGCUUGAAGAUGGCCUCCCUAAUGUUCUUGGCGUCCAGCUUGUGGUCACGGGUAAAUUCCAUGAACAUGGAGUGAUUGGCGUUGAGUCCACGUUCCACCAUCCCUUGGGACGUCAAGACUUGUUGCUUCGUUGCUUCGAGCCUUGUCUCCAUGCUUUCGGUCCUCUUUGGCCCUUGAACAUCGCGGAUGUUCAACACCCCCUCACGCAUCUCAAUGGUUUGAUGGUGUUGCAGCACCUCUGCAAGGUAGGGGUUGAUGACCUUUGAUACGUCCAUUUUGCAUCAUGUUUUCUUACUGUUAUUUAUAAUGUUUUUACCCAUAAUAAUGUUUUUUGGAGUAAUUCUAAUGCCUCUUCUCUCAUAAUUUUCAAGGUACACACCAAGAGGGAGAAUUCCGGCAGCUGGAAAUCUGGACCUGAAAAAGCUACGUUAGGCCACCUAUUCUGCACAACUCCAAAUGAUCUGAAACUUCAUGAAGAUUUUUUAUGGAUUAUUUAAGAAAUAUUGGAGCCAAUAACCACCAAAGGGGGGCACCAGGUGGGCACAACCCACCUGGGCGCGCUAGGCCCCCCAGGCGCGCCCUGGUGGGUUGUGGCCUCCUCGGCCCACCUCCGAUGCCCAUCUUCUGGUACAUAAGUCAUUUUGACCUAGAAAAAAUAAGGAGAAGGUUCGGGAUGGAGCGCCGCCGUCUUGAGGCGGAACUUGGGCAGGAGCACUUUUGCCCUCCGGCGGAGCGAUUCUGUUGGGGAACCUUCCCUCUCGGAGGGGGAAACCAUCGUCAUCAUCAUCACCAACAACUCUCCCAUCUUGGGGAGGGCAAUCUGCAUCAACAUCUUCAACAACACCAUCUCAUCUCAAACCCUAGUUCAUCUCUUGUAUUCAAUCUUGUUACCGGAACUAUAAAUUGGUGCUUGUGGGUGACUAGUAGUGUUGAUUACAUCUUGUAGUUGAUUACUAUAUGGUUUAUUUGGUGGAAUAUUAUAUGUUCAGAUCCAUGAUGAUAUUUAAUACUCCUCUGAUCAUGAGCAUGUUUAUUACUCCUCUGAUCCAUUGGCCAUAGGUAGGCAUGUUUUCCCCUCAUACUUGAUAAUUUUGGAGUCGCAAGGGUUGGAUGUAAUUUUGGGUAUGGAUUGGCUAUCGAUGUAUGGAGGAAACAUCAAUUGCGCCAGUAAAACGAUUUUGCUUACCACCCCAGAAGGAAGAAGGAUUAAGUAUGUAUCCCGGCAUGUGCCGAAGAGGACUCAAGUGAAUUCCUUAUCAGGAGUUGUACAGGAGGAAGUACCAGUGGUGAAGGAAUUCCCUGAUGUAUUUCCAGAAGAGUUGCCAGGCAUGCCACCAGAUAGAGACAUUGAAUUUUUGAUUGAGCUUUUGCCAGGCACAUGGCCAAUAUCUAAGAGACCGUACAGGAUGCCCGCUAAGGAUUUGGAGGAAAUUAAGAAACAGAUUAAGGAGUUACUCGAUAAAGGCUAUAUUCGCCCAAGUUCGUCACCUUGCGGAUCACCAGUGCUUCUCGUGGAGAAGAAGGAUGGAUCGUUGAGGAUGGUUGUUGAUUAUCGAGGAUUGAAUGAAGUAACAAUCAAGAACAAGUACCCACUGCCGAUGAUCAAUGAUUUAUUUGACCAACUACAAGGAGCUAAAGUAUUUUCCAAGAUCGAUUUGCGAUCAGGAUACCACCAGCUGAAGAUUCGAGAACAGGAUAUACCUAAGACAACUUUUACCACAAGGUAUGGGCUAUAUGAGUAUACCGUUAUGUCAUUUGGCCUGACUAACACACCUGCCUAUUUCAUGAACAUGAUGAACAAGGUGUUUAUGGAGUUUUUGGACAAGUUCGUCGUGGUGUUCAUUGAUGAUAUUCUGGUCUAUUCGAAGAAUGAGGAGGAGCAUAAGGAGCAUUUGCGUUUGGUACUUGGAAAGCUCAGAGAACAUCAGUUAUAUGCCAAGUUCAGCAAGUGCGAGUUUUGGUUAAACGAAGUUGGAUUCCUCGGACAUGUUAUAUCCGGAGAAGGAAUAGCAGUAGACCCCACCAAGGUUAUCACUGUGACAAUUUGGGAAGCACUCACGUCAAUUGGAGAAAUCCGGAGUUUUCUUGGACUCGCAGGAUACUACCGGAGGUUCAUUGAGAAUUUCUCGAAGAUUGCAAAGCCCAUGACGGAGUUGUUGAAGAAGGACACCAAGUUCAAUUGGACGGAGUAAUGUGAGGCUAGUUUCCAGGAGUUGAAGAAACGUUUGGUUACAGCGCCAGUGUUGAUUUUGCCAGAUCAACGCAAGGAUUAUGAGGUGUAUUGCGAUGCUUCUCGUCGAGGACUUGGAGCAGUGCUUAUGCAGGAGGGAAGAGUUGUUUCCUAUGCCUCACAACAGCUUAAACCCUAUGAGUUGAAUUAUGCUACACACGAUUUGGAGUUAGCAGCCGUAGUGCAUGGGUUGAAGACGUGGAGACAUUUUCUCAUUGGAAACCAUUGUGAGGUGUACACGGAUCACAAGAGUUUGAAGUAUAUCUUCACGCAGAAGGAGUUGAAUCUCAGGCAAAGGAGAUGGUUGGAGCUCAUCAAGGAUUAUGAUAUGAGAUUGCAUUAUCACCCAGGGAAGGCUAACAUAGUAGCCGAUGCGUUGAGCCGCAAGAGCCAUGUCAACACACUCAUGACUGGAGAGUUACCCAAGGAGUUAGAAGAGGAUCUUCGUGAACUAUGUUUGGAGAUAGUUCCGAGAAGCUAUGUAGCAGCAUUGGAGAUUCAGUCUACUUUGAUGGAUAAGAUCAGAGAAGCUCAGAAGACAGACAAGGAGAUUGCCGAGAUAAAGGAAAGGAUGAGCAAAGGAAAAGCCAAGGGAUUUCAUGAGGAUGAGCACGAUACCUUAUGGUUUGAGGACCGCGUUUAUGUGCCCAAUGAUCCGGAGAUCAGGAAGUUGAUUCUGCAGGAGGCCCAUGAUUCGCCGUAUUCGAUUCACCCAGGAAAUACCAAGAUGUAUCUGGAUUUGAAGGAUAGUUUCUGGUGGACCGGAAUGAAGAAGGAUAUUGCGGAGUAUGUAGCCGUUUGCGAUGUAUGUCAGAGAGUAAAGGCAAAGCAUCAGAAACCAGCAGGAUUGUUACAGCCAUUGCCGAUACCCGAAUGGAAGUGGGAUAAGCUAGGCAUAGAUUUUAUCAUGGGAUCGCCCAUGACUCGUUCAGGCUAUGACUCGAUAUGGGUUGUAGUCGAUCGUUUGACGAAGGUAGCUCAUUUCAUCCCAGUGAAGACCACUUACACCAGUGCUAAGUUGGCAAAGGUAUACAUGACCAGGAUCGUAUGUCUGCAUGGAGUUCCGAGGACCAUUGUAUCAGAUAGAGGAACCCAGUUUACCUCAAAGUUCUGGAAUCAGUUGCACGAGACUUUGGGUACCGGGCUAGAGUUCAGUACAGCCUUUCAUCCACAGACAGAUGGGCAGACCGAGAGAGUCAAUCAGAUUUUGGAGGACAUGCUGAGAGCUUGUGCGCUAGAUUAUGGAUGCAGUUGGGAUGACAAUUUACCGUAUGCAGAGUUUUCUUACACCAAUAGCUACCAAUCCAGUUUGAAGAUGGCCCCUUUCGAAGCUCUGUACGGAAGGAGGUGCAGGACACCAUUGUUGUGGGACGAAGUUGGAGACCGUCAGUUGUUUGGACCAGAUUUGAUUAAAGAGUCUGAAGAGAAAGUUAAGCUGAUUCGCGAUAGACUCAAGGUAGCCCAGUCCAGGCAGAAGAGUUAUGCGUAUUCUAAACGCAAGGAGACAGUUUACGAAGCUGGAGCCAGAGUUUAUCUUCGUGUGUCCCCACGUCGAGGAGUUAAGCGUUUUGGAGUUAAGGGAAAGUUAGCACCACGUUUUGUGGGACCAUACAAAGUUUUGGAUCGUAUGGGAGAAGUUGCUUACAAGCUGGAGUUGCCUGAAGGUUUGUCAGGAGUUCACGACGUGUUCCAUGUUUCCCAAUUAAAGAAGUGCCACACAGAGAUGGCUGAUAUUCCUCUGAGAGAUACAGUGCCACUAGAAGCGAUUCAGCUGGAUAGCGAUUUGACCUAUGAGGAGAAACCAGUCAAGAUUCUCGCGUUUGCCAGCCGAGUCACCCGCAGCAAGGUUAUCAAGUUUUGCAAAGUUCAGUGGAGCCACCAUACUGAAGAUGAAGCCACUUGGGAACGAGAGGAAGACCUACGGAAGGACCACCCUCACCUAUUUUCUAGCCAACCCGAAUCUCGAGGGCGAGAUUCAUCUUAAGGGGGGUAGGUUUGUAACAUCCCAAAUUUUCAACUGGAAUGUUAUACAUAGACCAUGCAUUGCAUAUCAUGUUUUAUUGCAUUUCGAUUUGCAAUCCUCGAAAUUCUAAGUACCUCAAGGACCCACGGAGAGAGUUGGGGAUUUCACGAUUUUCAUAUUUGAGUUUUAUCAAAUAUAGAAACGAGGAUUAUUUGUUUAAUUAUUUUUCACUCCGAAAAUAUUUUCAUAUUUAAAGUAUAUGAGAGGGGAUAAUAUGACUUCCCCAAAAAUAAUGAAAUAUUGGAGGAAAAUAUUAAAAACAAAUAAAUAUUUUUAUUUGGGAUUUUAUUGCUAUUUUAUUUGCAUAGGUAAAAUAUGCAUUUUUCAAAAUUGCAUUUUAGGCCCAAAUAAAUGUUCAUCUUGUCCGGCUUAUUUUUAGAGGACGGGGAAAAUUAAUUUUGGGAUUUUUGGAGUCCGUUUAGUAUUUCUUUUCUUUCUUUUUCUGCACGUCGAAAUUAUUUAAAAAAAAGUCUAAGCGACUCCGGGCCGUACCCGACCGGGACUCCGCCCAGGGGGCUUUAUAAGCCGGGGCCCCCCUGCCCCGCAGCCCACCGCCGCCCNNNNNNNNNNNNNNNNNNNNNNNNNNNNNNNNNNNNNNNNNNNNNNNNNNNNNNNNNNNNNNNNNNNNNNNNNNNNNNNNNNNNNNNNNNNNNNNNNNNNNNNNNNNNNNNNNNNNNNNNNNNNNNNNNNNNNNNNNNNNNNNNNNNNNNNNNNNNNNNNNNNNNNNNNNNNNNNNNNNNNNNNNNNNNNNNNNNNNNNNNNNNNNNNNNNNNNNNNNNNNNNNNNNNNNNNNNNNNNNNNNNNNNNNNNNNNNNNNNNNNNNNNNNNNNNNNNNNNNNNNNNNNNNNNNNNNNNNNNNNNNNNNNNNNNNNNNNNNNNNNNNNNNNNNNNNCCGCCGUCGCAGGACGCCGCCGCCGCCGGAGUUGACCGUCGCCGCCGGAGUUGACCGCCGCCACUUCGUUUUUUUGGUUUAUUUCGGUAAACCCUAGAUCUAGAUCCGUUUUUUUAAUAAUUUCUGGUUUUUUCGUUAGGUCGGUUUUUCCGACGGUUUAUUUAUUUUGCGGACGUUCGUCCGUACGUUCGUUUUUACGAACGGUUUUCGCCCGUUAGUCGCAGACAGCGAACAUUCGUUCGUUAGCCUGUUCAUCAGUUUUUCUUUUUCUCGGGUUUUUCGCGAUUAUUUUCGAUCGCGAUUUCUGAUCCGAUUUUCGUUUUAGUAUAACUUUUCGCUCGUUUAUCGGAAUCAGGCGAUUCAAGCGCCUGGAGUUUCGUCUCGAAACCCUCUUUCUGUUUAAUCAACUCAAACAAGUUUUUGCUACUUUAAAAUUUGACUUUAGUCCAGAAUAGUAAACGGAUCUUGUUUCUUUCGCAGUUUGAGUUUCGUUGUUUCGUUCGAUUUGAUUCUUUUUGCAAACCAGAGUUCUUAAGUUGAACUUUCUAGUUAGAUCUCUUACUUGAGUUUUACCCGUGCAUCUAUGCUUGAUUGCUUAUGUAUGUCUUUGUUUGUUUGCGAUAGAGUACCCGGAGUGCGAAGCGUGCUACUAUGAGUCUCUAGGUUUCACGGAUCAUCAGCAAGGCAAGUAACACUUUGGUCAUACCUCCUUACUACCAAGUUUAUUGCAUUAGAUCAAUCCUCAGACAAUUGCAUGGUUAGGUCCUGUUUAUUAUCAAACCUUUGGGAGUUACUUCUACGUUGCUUAUAUUGUCCUGUUUAUUAUCCUAUGGACCGCCACCCAGACUCAAAGGGAUCAUGAGAUUAUUCAUGCUAGAAACUUCCGUGUGCAGCCACAAGCUAUUAUGGGCUCUAGCAUAGUUGAGUAAGUUGCAAGACCUCUUUCAGUGGUGGGCUAGCAGAUUUAGGGGAAAGUAGGUGUAACUGUCCACCCGGAGUAAAGAGUUAUUGUUUCCGAAAGACUGUGCCUCGGUCAUCCGUUUCUCAAACACCAUGUAGUGCGAGAACUCAAACGGAGGAGAUCGAGUCUUGUGGGGAAAAGUGCGCAAACCUCUGUAGAGUGUAUAAACUAAUCAUGGUUAGCCGUGUCCCCGGUUAUGGACAUCUUGAGUAUCUAGUUCUUGGAUUAUCAUGUGGAUCUCAUCAUGUUACUUUAUUUAAUUUUAUUGGGUUUAAUCAUGUUCUUAAUUGGGAUUGAGUUGGAGGAACCUUCUCAAUGUUUAACAACCACCAUGAUAGUUAAAUAAAAUUUAUUCCUUUGUUGUAGGAAAAAAUUGGCUUUUCGCAAAACUGUAACCAUAGAACUUUCCACCAACCAAAUAUGCAUGUAGUGAUAGCAUUAUUCUGUUCAUUACUCACUAUGUGUUACAUUGCCAGCAUAUUCCAUGUGCUGACCCGUUUUCGGGCUGCAACGUUCAUGUUGCAGACUUUUCAGACGACGAGUAAGGUGCCAUAGGUCGUGGUCUUAUACUCAGUGAUGCCGUUGGAGUUGAUGGACUCACUUUAUCUUCCAAGCCUUCCGCUGUUAUCGUACUUAGAUGGCCUUAAGCCAUAUUUAUUGUAAUAAGUUCUCUCUUGAGACUAUUCAAUCUAAUGAGUGUGUGAUUGCUACUCUGUUAUAAAUCCUUCAAGUACUGUGCGUGUGAGCAUUACCGAUCUAGGGAUGACACUGAUGCACAGAGAUCGGACUGUUUGAGGUCUGGUCGCUACAAUUACUUUUGGGAUGACCCACAUCUUUAUAAAGAAGGAGUAGAUGGUAUUAUUAGACGUUGUGUACCUGAGCAUGAACAGGGACAAAUCCUACGGAAUGUCACUCCGAGGCUUAUGGAGGGCAUCAUGCUGGAGAUAGAACUGCUCAUAAGGUAUUGCAGUCUGGAUUCUAUUGGCCUACUCUCUACAAGGAUGCCCGUAAGUUUGUCUCAUCUUGUGAUGAAUUCCAAAGAAUAGGUAAUAUCGGUAAGCAUCAAGAAAUGCCUAUGAAUUAUUCACUUGCUGUUGAACCAUUUGAUGUUUGGGGAUUUGAUUACAUGGGACCUUUUCCUUCCUCUAAUGGGUAUACACAUAUUUUGGUUGCUGUUGAUUAUGUUACUAAAUGGGUAGAAGCUAUUCCAACUAGUAGUGCUGAUCACAACACCUCUAUUAAAAUGCUUAAGGAAGUUAUUUUCCCAAGGUUUGGAGUCCCUAGAUAUUUAAUGACUGAUGGUGGUUCACACUUUAUGCAUGGUGCUUUAUGUAAGAUGCUUGCUAAGUAUGAUGUUAACCAUAGAAUUGCAUCACCCUAUCAUCCUCAGUCCAGUGGUCAAGUUGAACUUAGUAAUAGAGAAAUAAAAUUAAUUUUGCAAAAGACUGUCAAUAGGUCCAGAAAGAAUUGGUCUAUGAAAUUAGAUGAUGCACUUUGGGCUUAUAGAACAACAUAUAAAAAUCCUAUGAGUAUGUCUCCUUAUAAAAUGGUUUAUGGAAAAGCUUGUCAUUUGCCUCUUGAGUUAGAACAUAAAGCAUACUAGGCAGUUAAAGAAAUCAACUAUGAUUUCAAACUUGCCGGUGAAAAGAGGUUAUUUGAUAUUAGCUCAUUAGAUGAAUGGAGAACCCAAGCAUAUGAAAAUGCAAAGUUAUUCAAAGAAAAAGUUAAAAGAUGGCAUGACAAAAGAAUCCAAAAGCGUGAGUUGAAAGUUGGAGAAUAUGUUCUUUUUUACAACUCUCAUUUUAGAUUUUUUGCAGGGAAGCUCCUCUCAAAAUGGGAAGGCUCAUAUGUCAUCGAGGAGGUUUAUUGGUCUGGUGCCAUCAAAAUAAAUAAUUCUGAAGGUACUAACCCAAAGGAUGUCAAUGGGCAACGAAUAAAGCAUUAUAUCUCAGGUACGCCUAUUAAUGUUGAAAGCAAUAUUAUCCAAACUUUGACAUCGGAAGAACACAUAAAAGAGUCCUUCCGGAACACUCCAGAAUCGCCAAAAUAAGGAGGUACGUGAUACGGUAAGUAAACAGACUCCGAAAAAUCUGCAAUUUUUUUAAUCAGUUUUGGAAUAUUUUAGAAUUUUGGAAAUAAAGAAUCUUCCACGAAGCGUCCCCUGGUGGGCACAAGACACUAGGGCGCGCUAGGCCUGGGGCGCCCAGGUGGGUUGUGCCCAUCUGGGACACCAUCAGUACUCCGUUUUUCGUCCAUGUACUUGUUCUCCAAGAUAAAAAAUCUAUAUAUACUUCCCGAACCUGUUAACCACCGUAUCGCGGAGAAAAUCCUCUGUUCUCUUUUUCCUUGCUGUUUUCUGUCAAAUCCCAUCUACCAUGGCUGCUUCAAGCUCCUCCAAGGACAAGUUCUUCAAGAACGUUAUCAACCCAUAUUUGCGGGGGGUGGUGUAGCACCCUCAGGUCAUUGAGAUGCAUGAGGGGGUGCUUCACCUUCGCGAUGUGCCUUUCCCCAAGGGGACGGGAACCGUGGAGGCUAGGCUUGAAGCUCUGGAGCAAUAUGUCUUCCGGUGCAAGGGGAUGGUGGAGCGUGGACGCCAUGCCAAUCACCUCAUGAUCACGGACCUCUCACGUGAUCUCAAGGUGGAUGGCAAGCCCAUGAAGGACAUCGUCUUCACCUUCAACGAGCAAAUCAACUUCCUCCAAAGCCAGAUCUAUGACCUUCAGAACCAAGUCUUUGAAUAUGAGGUGAGGUUUAAAGGUAUGAGUUUGGUUGCUAGUUGCAGGACCCGUGAGACUCACUCUUCCUCUUAUGAUGGUGGACCACUACCAUGGAAAUCUGAGGACAAGGCUUCUUCUCAUCACCACCACCACCUUCUUCACCAUUGAAGGAGAACUGAGUAUCGGGUAUGGGCAUUCCCCUUGGCUUCCGCCAAGCUUGGGGGAGGUGCCCCGGUAUCGUAUCAUCCCACUAUCUUUUUUGCUUUUACUUAUCUUAGUUCGAUCCUUUUGCUUUAGAUGAAAUAAAGCUUAGUUCGAUCCUUUCCUCUUUGAGAGUUUGCUUAGUGAUCUAUCAUUGUAAUCGUGUGCAAGUUAUAUAAUAAAGUUUAGUUUGAGUUUUUGUUUUCUUUACUUUCUUGUUGCAAAUAAAGAAAAGAAAUAAGAAAUAAAUAAAAAUAGAAAGGAAAUAAAUAAAAGAAAGGAAAUAAAUCAAUAAGAUUAUAUACUAAUCCUAUGGUAGGUGAUAGCACCACAUAAGGAAAAGUAUAAGUAGAAAAAUUCAUUAGAGAUUGACAAACAUAGCAUUAGUCAAUGAUGUAACUCAUGAAAGAAUUAAUAAGGGAAGAGAAGAUUCACAUAUAAAUAUACUAUCCUAGAAAUCUUUUGUGAUUGUGAGCCCUCAUCAAAAUAUUAUAUGCCAAAAUUGUUGACGUUGGACAUGGAAGACAACUUAAUGGUUUAUGUUUGUUUAUAUUCACAUAGAAGUAAUAUUGUCAUAGUUCCUUCAACAUGUGAUGCUUGCCCCUAUCUUUGCAAGCCAAAAAUUCCGCACUAAGUAGAGAUACUACUUGUGCAUCCAAAAACCCUUAAACCCAAAUCUUUUCAGGUGUCCACCAUACCUACCUAGGGAUUGAGCAAGAUCCCUCAAGUAAGUUGUCAUCGGUGCAAAAAGGCAAUAAAAGUUGCUUCAAAAUAUGUGAGAUCAUUUAGUUUAAGAGAAAAUUGAGCGUUGUACGAACUUGGAUGACAACGAAUAAAAGCGACAGACUACAUAAUAAAGGUUGUCAUCUUAAGGGGCAAUACAACAUGACGUUCUCUUGCACUAACGGAUUGAGCAUGCAAACAAAUAAGCGCAUGGCAACCUCUGCUUCCCUCUGCGAAGGGCCUAUCUUUUACUUUUAUGUAUUUACUUUUAUGCAAAGAGUCAAAGUUUUCCUUCUAUUCCUUUUUAUUUUCUCUUUUGGCAAGCAUCAUGUGGUGAGGAAAGAUCUAGGCACAUAUGUCCAGUUGAAUAUAGAUAGCAUGAGUUAUUAUUGUUGACAUCACCCUUGAGGUGAGUAUGUUGGGAGGCGAAACUAUAAGCCCCUAUCUUUCUAUGUGUCCGGUUGAAAUGUUUUGCUCAUGGGUACUAGGUGAGUGUUAGCAAUCAUAGAAGACUAUAUGAUGUUUGAGUAUGUGGACUUGCCUAAAGGCUUCGACAUGUGACCCUUCCUAAAAAGAUGAUGAAUUGUAGUUGCAAAGUUGACUGAGAACAUAGUUUGUUGGUUUCUAAUAGAGUUUUUGCUUUAUACUUCGAUUAUGUGAUGAACUGUUACUUAUUCAUGGAAAGUAUAUGAUGCAAGUUCUAUGAUAAAAGUCCUAUGUUAAAUUUUGUUCCUGUUAUAAUAAUCAACAUGAUGCUUCUAUGUCCGUAUUUUGUUUUUAUCGACAGCUCUCUCUCAAAGCAUGUGGACAUGUUUUUUCCAUUUCGGUUUUUGCUUGAGGACAAGUGAGGUCUAAGCUUGGGGGAGUUGAUACGUCCAUUUUGCAUCAUGUUUUCUUACUAUUAUUUAUAAUGUUUUUAUCCGUAAUAAUGCUUCUUGGAGUAAUUCUAAUGCAUUUUCUCUCAUAAUUUGCAAGGUACACACCAAGAGGGAGAAUUCCGGCAGCUGGAAAUCUGGACCUGAAAAAGCUACGUUAGGCCACCUAUUCUGCACAACUCCAAAUGAGAUGAAACUUCACUGAGAUUUUUUAUGGAUUAUUUAAGAAAUAUUGGAGCCAAUAACCACCAGAGGGGGCCACCAGGUGGGCACAACCCACCUGGGUGCGCCAGCCCCCCUAGGCGCGCCCUGGUGGGUUUUGGCCUCUUCGGCCCACCUCCGGUGCCCAUCUUCUGGUACGUAAGUCAUUUUUACCUAGAAAAAAUAAGGAUAAGGCUUUCGGGAUGGAGCGCCGCCGUCUCGAGGCAGAAGUUGGGCAGGAGCACUUUUGCCCUCCGGCAAAGAGAUUCUUUCGGGGAACUUCCCUCCCGGAGGGGGAAAUCAUCGUCAUCAUCAUCACCAACAACUCUCCCAUCUUGGGGAGGGCAAUCUCCAUCAACAUCUUCAACAACACCAUCUCAUUUCAAACCCUAGUUCAUCUCUUGUAUUCAAUCUUGUUACCGGAACUAUAGAUUGGUGCCUGUGGGUGACUAGUAGUGUUGAUUACAUCUUGUAGUUGAUUACUAUAUGGUUUAUUUGGUGGAAGAUUAUAUGUUCAGAUCCAUGAUGCUAUUUAAUACUCCUCUGAUCAUGAGCAUGUUUAUUAUUUGUGAGUAGUUACCUUUGUUCUUCAGGUCACGGGAUAAAUCAUGUUGCAAGUAAUCAUGUGAAUUUGAUAUGUGUUUGAUAUUUUGAUAGUAUGCAUGUUGUGAUUCCCUUAGUGGUGUCAUGUGAAUGUCGACUACAUGACACUUCACCAUAUUUGGGCCUAAGGGAAUGCAUUGUGGAGUAGCAAUUAGAUGAUGGGUUGCGAGAGUGACAGAAGCUUAAACCCCAGUUUAUGCGCUAUUCCGUAAAGGACCGAUUGGAUCCUAGAGUUUAAUGCUAUGGUUAGAAUUUAUUCUCAAUACAUUUCUCGUCGUUGUGGAUGCUUGUGGGAGGGUUAAUCAUAAGUAGGAGGUUUGUUCAAGUAAGAACAACACCUAAGCACCGGUCCACCCACAUAUCAAAUUAUCAAAGUAGCGAACACGAAUUAAACCAACAUGAUGAAAGUGACUAGAUGAAAUUCCCGUGUACCCUCAAGAACGCUUUGCUUAUCAUAAGAGACCUUUUGGCCUGUCCUUUGCCUCAAAAGGAUUGGGCUACCUUGCUGCAUACUUAUUGCUAUUAUCGUUACUUGCUCGUUACAAAAUAUCUUGCUAUCAAACUACUUGCUACUUACAAUUUCAGCACUUGCAGACAUUACCUUACUGAAAACUACUUGUCAACUCAUUCUGCUCCUCGUUGGGUUCGACACUCUUACUUAUCGAAAAGAGCUACAAUUGAUCCCCUAUACUUGUGGGUCAUCAACCUUCUCGAAGAACUUGUCCUUCGAAGCGCUUGGGGAUGUCAUACCGAUAUAGAUAUGUUAGGAAAACAACUCGAAACAAGAACAGAUGAUUUUGCCGUGGUACGGUGGUCAAAACCUUCGGGAGAUUAUAUAAUGAACUUUUACCGACCAAAAGAAGUAUUUGCAAGAAAACGGAGUCCGGAGGGCACACGAGGUGGCCACAAGCCUCGGAGGCAUGCUCAGUGGGGAAUGGCGCGCCCCCAAGGCUUGUCGCCUCCUCGUGCACUUUUUGGACUACUUUUUGUUUUCCUAUUUUUUUAAUAUUCCAAAAUGGAGUAAAAUUGCCAUUGGAAAUUUUUUGGAGUCGGUUUACUUACCGUAUCACAUACCUAUUCCUUUUGGGGGUCUGGAACGUCCCGGUAGGUCUCCCUUAUGUACUCCUCUGGUGUUAUGGUAUUAAUAAUAUUGGUUUCAACAUUUAUGGGAGUACCUGAUAUAUAAUGUUUGAUCCUUUGCCCGUUUACCACCUUCGGGUUAUUGCCUUCGGCGUUGUUGAUCUUGAUGGCACCGAAAUGAUUAACUUCCUCGAUAAUGUAAGGCCCUUCCCAUUUAGAGAGAAGUUUUCCUGCAAAAAAUCUUAAACGAGAAUUCUAUAGCAAGACAUGGCCACCUACAUUAAAUUCACGUUUUUGUAUCCUUUUAUCAUGCCAUAUUUUAACUUUCUCCUUAAAUAGUUUGGCAUUCUCAUAGGCUUGGGUUCUCUAUUCAUCAAGUGAGCUAAUGUCAAAUAGCCUCUUCUCACUGGCAAGUUUGAAAUCAUAGUUGAGCUCUUUAAUUGCCCAAUAAGCUUUAUGUUCUAGUUCAAGAGGUAAGUGACAUGCUUUUCCAUAAACCAUUUUAUAUGGAGACAUACCCAUUGGAUUUUUAUAUGCAGUUCUAUAAGCCCAUAAUGCAUCAUCAAGUUUCUUAGAGCAAUUCUUUCUAGAUCUAUUAACAGUCUUUUGCAAGAUCAAUUUUAUUUCUCUGUUGCUUAAUUCUACUUGACACUAGACUGAGGAAGAUAUGGAGAUGCAAUUAACAUCAUACUUAGCAAGAAAUUUACGGAAAGCACCAUAAAUAAAGUGUGAACCACCAUCUGUCAUUAAAUAUCCAGGGACUCCAAACCUCGGGAAAAUAACUUCAUUAAGCAUUUUAGUAGAAGUGUUAUGAUCAACACUACUAGUUGGAAUAGCUUCUACCCACUUAGUAACAUAAUCAACAACAACCAAAAUAUGUGUGUACCCAUUAGAGGAUGGAAAAGGCCCCAUAUAAUCAAAUCCCCAAACAUCAAAUGGUUCAAUAACAAGUGAAUAAUUCAUAGGCAUUUCCUGACGCCUACUAAUAUUACCAAUUAUUUGACAUUCAUCACAAGCCAAUACAAACUUACGAGCAUCCUUAAAGAGAGUUGGCCAGUAAAAACAAGAUUGUAAUACCUUUUGUGCAGUUCUGUCUCUAGCAUGGUGUCCUCCAUAAGCCUCGGAGUAACACUUGCGUAGGAUUUGUUCAUGUUCAUGCUCAGGUACACAACAUCUAAUAACACCAUCCACUCCUUAUUUAUAAAGAUGUGGGUCAUCCCAUAAGUAAUGUCUUAAAUCAUAGAAAAACCUUUUCUUUUUUUGGUAUGUGAAACUAGGUGGUAUGAAUUUAGCAACAAUGUAAUUAGAAUAAUCAGCAUACCAUGGAGUACUACGAGAAGCAUUUAUGACAUCUAAUUGUUCAUCAGGAAAGCUAUCAUCAAUAGGUAGUGCAUCAUCAAGAAUAUUUUCUAACCUAGACAAGUUGUCUUCUACGGGGUUCUCAGCUCCCUUUCAAUAAUAUGUAAAUAAAAUUCUUGUAGCAAGAGAACCCACAUAAUAAGUCUAGGUUUAGCAUCUUUAUUUUCCAUAAGAUAUUUAAUAGCAGCAUGAUCGGUGUGAACUGUUACUUUGGAAUCAACAAUAUAAGAUCUAAAUUUAUCACAAGCAAACACAACCGCUAAAAAUUCUUUUUCAGUAGUAGCAUAAUUUGUUUGAGCACUGUCUAGAGUUUUACUGACAUAAUGAAUAACAUUCAAUUUCUUAUCAACUCUUUGUCCUAGAACAACACCAACAUCAUAAUCACUAGCAUCACACAUAAUUUCAAAGGGUAGGUUCCAAUCAGGUGGUUGAACAAUAGGUGCAGAAAUUAAGGCUUUCUCAAGUAUUUCAAAGGCUUCUACACAAUCAUCAUCAAAAACAAAUGGAACAUCUUUUUGCAAGAGAUUAGUGAGAGGCCUAGAAAUUUUAGAGAAGUCUUUGAUAAAUCUCCUAUAGAAACCAACAUGACCAAGGAAACUUCUUAUACCUUUGAUAUCUUUAUUAGGACACGACAUUGUUUCAAUAGCAUCAACUUUAGCUUUAUCAACUUCAAUACCUCUUUUGGAGAUUUUAUUCCCCAAAACAAUACCUUCGUUAACCAUAAAGUGGCACUUCUCUCAAUUCAAGACAAGAUUAGUUUCUUCACAUCUCUACAAAACUCGAUCGAGGUUGCUUAAGCAAUCAUCAAAAGAAGUUCCGUAAACGGAGAAAUCAUCCACGGAAACCUCAACAAUCUGUUCACAAAAGUCAGAGAAUAUAGCAGUCAUACAUCUUUGAAAGUUAGAAGGUGCAUUGCAUAAACCAAAAGGCAUACAUCUAUAAGCAAAAGUACCGAAAGGGCAAGUAAAAGUAGUAUUUUCUUGAUCCUCUUGUGAUACAGGUAUUUGAGAAAAACCAGAAUGACCAUCUAUAAAACAAAAGUAUGUAUGUUUGGAUAGUCUUUCUAGCAUUUGAUCAAUAAAAGGUAGAGGAUAAUGAUCUUUCCUAGUGGAUUUUUUUAAUUUUCUAAAAUUAAUUACCAUUCUAUAACCUGUAACAAUUCUUUGUGGAAUCAAUUCAUUUUUAUCAUUAGGAACAACAGUAAUACCUCCCUUCUUAGGCACACAAUGAAUAUGACUUACCCAACUACUAUCAGGAAUAGGAUAAAUUAUACCUGCUUCCAGAAGCUUGCGUAUUUCAUUUCUUACCACUUCUUUCAUCAUUGGAUUUAGCCGUCGUUGGUGAUCAACAACUGGUUUAGCAUCAGGUUCCAUAUUAAUUUUAUGCUAACACAGAGAGGGACUAAUGCCCUUAAGAUCAUCCAGAGUAUAUCCAACCAGCACGGUGCUUCUUCAGAGUUUUCAAUAAUUUCUUUUCUUCAUGCUAUGAAAGGUUAGCGCUGAUAAUAACACGAUCUAUCUUCUUUUCAUCAAGAUAAGCAUAUUUCAAGUAUUAGGUAAUUAUUUAAGAUCAAACAGGAUCACUCUUGGGUGGUAGAGGAUCUCCAAGAGUCUCAACAGAAAAAUUGUGUUUCGAGACAUGCAUUUGUUUAAAGAAUAUUUCAUCUAACUCCUUUCUUUCAUUCAUAAACAUAUCAUUUUCAUGGUCUAGAAAAUAUUGUUCUAAAGGAUCAGUAGGAGGCACGACAAUAGAAGCAAGACCAAUAAUUUCAUCUUUAUUAGGCAAUUCUUUAACAUGGGGUUGUCUACGAAAUUUGGAGAAAUUAAAAUCAUCAUGAGACACAUCCCCGAAACUUACACCAACAGUUUCUUUCUCACAAUCUAUUUUAGCAUUAACAGUGUUCAAGAAAGGUCUACCAAAUAUAAUGGGACAAAAAUCAUCUUGUGGGGAACCAAGAACUAUAAAAUCAGUAGGGUAUUUCAUUUUCCCACAUAAGACUUCAACAUCUCUAACAAUCCCAAUUGGUGAGAUAGUAUCUCUAUUAGCAAGCUUAAUAGUGACAUCAAUAUCUUCUAUUUCAGUAGGUGCAAUAUCAUUCAUAAUUUCUUGGUAUAAAGUAAAAGGAAUUGCACUCACACUAGCACCCAAAUCACAUAAGCCAUGAUAACAAUGAUCUCCUAUCUUAACAGAAACAACAUGCAUGCCAACAAUAGGUCUAUGUUUAUCUUUAUCAUCGGGUUUGGCAAUUCUAGCAGCUUCAUCACAGAAAUAAAUAACAUGUCCAUUAAUAUUAUCGACCAAGAGAUCUUUAACCGUGGCAAUACUAGGUUCAACUUUAAUUUGUUCAGGGGGUGUAGGUGUUCUAGUAUAACUCUUACGAACCACAGCGGAAGCUUUAGCAUGUUCCUUUACUCUAACAGGAAAAGGUGGUUUCUCAACGUAAGCAGUAGGAACAACUGGAUCAACAUUAUAAGUAAUGGUUUGUUAUUCAGCUUUAAUAGGUUCUACUACUUUUACUUCAAUGGGGGGAUGAUAUUUAAACCACUUCUCCUUAGGGAGAUCAACAUGAGUAGCAAAUGAUUCACAAAAAGAAGCUACUAUCUUAGUGUCAAGUCCAUAUUUAGUGCUAAAUUCACAAAAAGCAUCGGUAUCCAUAAAAGAUUUAACACAAUCAAACUUAAGGUUUAUACAUGACUCCUUACCUUGAUCAAGCUCCCAAUCUUCAGAGUUGCAUUUAAUUCUUUCCAAUAAAUCCCAUUUGAAUUCAAUAGUCUUCUUUAUAAAAGAACUAGUGCAAGAAGUAUCGAGCAUGGACUGAUCAUUACGAGAAAGCCGGGCAUAAAAAUUCUGAAUAAUAAUUUCUGUUGAGAGCUCAUGAUUGGAGCAUGAAUAUAACAUUGACUUAAGCCUCCCCCAAGCUUGAGCGAUACUUUCUCCUUCACGAGGCCAAAAAUUAUAUAUAUAAUUCCGAUCACGAUGAACUAGGUGCAUAGGAUAAAACUUGUGAUGAAAUUCCAAUUUCAAUCGGUUGUAGUUCCAAGCUCCAAUAUCAUCACAUAGCCUAUACCAUGUCAAUGCUUUUACCUUCAAUGAUAAAGGGAAGACCUUCUUCUUGACUUCAUCCUCAGGCAAACCUGCAAGCUUAAAUAAUCCACAUACUUCAUCCACAUAGAUUAGAUGGAUAUCAGGAUGUAGUGUUCCGUCUCCUGCAUAAGGAUUAGCUAGAAGUUUCUCUAUCAUACCCAAAGGAAUUUCAUAAUGAAUAUAUUCAGUAGGUUCAGUACGUUGAGGAGCAACUCUUUUCUCUUCCAGUCGAGUUAAAGAUACCCGGAACAAACCCCUCAAAGGAUGAUUUUCCAUAGUGACAAGUGACAGUAAAUUUCAGCACGUAGUAUACAUUUUUCCUUACCAAAUUCCACUCACCAAAGGCACUUCACUCCCCGGCAAUGGCGCCAGAAAAGAGUAUUGAUGACCCACAAGUAUAUAGGGAUCUAUCGUAGUCCUUUCAAUAAGUAAGAGUGUCGAACCCAACGAGGAGCAGAAGGAAAUGACAAGCGGUUUUCAGCAAGGUAUUCUCUGCAAGCACUGAAAUUAUCGGUAACAUAUAGUUUUGUGAUAAGAUAAUUUGUAACGGGUAACAAGUAACAAGUGUAAUUAAGGUGCAGCAAGGUGGCCCAAUCCUUUUUAUAGCAAAGGAUAAACCUGGACGAACUCUUAUAUAAAGCAAAGUGCUCCCAAGGACACAUGGGAAUUAUUGUCAAGUUAGUUUUCAUCAUGCUGAUAUGAUUUGCAUUCGUUACUUUGAUAAUUUGAUAUGUGGGUGGACCGGUGCUUGGGUGCUGUCCUUACUUGGACAGGCCUCCCACUUAUGGUUAACCUCUCUCGCAAGCAUCCGCAACUAUGAAAGAAGCAUUAAGAUAAAUCUAACCAUAGCAUGAAACAUGUGGAUCCAAAUCAGCCCCUUACGAAGCAACGCAUAAACUAGGGUUUAAGCUUCUGUCACUCUAGCAACCCAUCAUCUACUUAUUACUUCCCAAUGCCUUCCCCUAGGCCCAAAUCAUGGUGAAGUGUCAUGUAGUCAAUGUUCACAAAACACCACUAGAUGAAAGACAACAUACAUCUCAUCAAAAUAUAGAACGAAUACCAAAUUCACAUGAUUACUUAUAACAAGAUUUCUCCCAUGUCCUCAGGAACAAACGUAACUACUCAUAAAGCAUAUUCAUGUUCAUAAUCAUAGGGGCAUUGAAUAUCAUUAAGGAUCUGAACAUAUGAUCUUCCACCGAAUAAACCAACUAGCAUCAACUACAAGGAGUAAUCAACACUACUAGCAACCCACGGGUACCAAUCUCAGGUUUUGGGACAAAGAUCGAGUACAAGAGAUGAACUAGGGUUUGAGAGGAGAUGGUUCUGGUGAAGAUGUUGAUAGAGAUUGACCCCCUCUCGAUGAGAGGAUCAUUGGUGAGGACGAUGGCUUUGAUUUCCCCCUCCCGGAGGGAGGUUUCCCCGGCAGAACAGCUCCACCGGAGCCCUAGAUUCCUUCUGCCCAGGUUCCACCUCGAGACGGCGGCGCUUCAUAUACCAGAAGAUGGGCACCGGAGACCUGCAGGGGGCCCACAAGCCUGGGGGCGCGCCCAGGGGUGUAGGGCGCCCCCAGGCUUGUGGCCACCUGGUGGGUCCACUCUCGUAUUUUCUUCGCCCAAUAUUUUUUAUAUAUUCCAAAAUAAUUCUUCAUAAAUUUUCAGGACUUUUGGAGUUGUGCAGAAUAGGUCUCUCAAAUUUGCUGUCCAGAAUUCCAGCUGCCGACAUUCCCCCUCUUUAUGUAAACCUUGUAAAAUAAGAGAGAAAAGGCAUAAGCAUUGUACCAUAAUGUGUAAUAACAGCCCAUAAUGCAAUAAAUAUUAACAUAAAAGCAUGAUGCAAAAUGGACGUAUCAUGGGCUGGAACAACUUCCUUGCUGGCAAGAAUCUCCAGGUUGGACAGGCCAUCUUUGUCACCAUCAGGAACACCCGGUGCCAUGACUUAAGGAUGAUGAUCGUCAUCGACCUCAUUUAGAAUCAUGUGUCUGGCGGGACUGUAGAUGCUAAAUGAACUGCUUACGUAUUAGCGCUAUCUACUAGUGUUUUAGCUCGUAAUUAAUGUUCUAUAACCGGUAAUGUUUGUGAGAUCUAGCUAGCAGCUACUACGUACUGUUUGUGAGAUUGCCGCUUUUUUAUUAACUCAUAAUGUUCUAUUAUCUGGUACUAUUCUAUGGUGUAAUGUUAUAUAUGUGCUUAGUUUUAAUCUGAAAUGCUAAAUGUUACAUGAUGGCAAAUGUUUUUUGGGUGCACGAAACGUUUAUGGCGUGCAAAUUACAUUGCAAGUGUGGCACGCGAGCAACACGUAUAGUACUGCUGGCGUAGCCUCCAAUGCCACAACUAUUUCUUAACAAUGGCAUCAUAUUGGUGGCCUCGAGCUUCCACACAAGCAAGGGUGUUUUUGGCACGCCAUAGCUAGGUUUUUUCGCACUAGUGUGAGGUUGAUUUUGAGCUAGAAAGGGCCUCGAAAAACGUACGAUAAACUUGAGAUUAGCUAAUUGAAGAUCGCUCUUCUCAACCAGAAUAAUUGUAUCAUCGGUGUAUUGUAGAACAUAAGAAAUAAUUUUGAGAGAGUUCUCAAAGAGUUUCAUAUGUUUCUAGAAAUGUUCUGGGGGGUUCUAGGAAGGUCCUAGGAACUUUUGGUAAUAUUCAAAAGGUUACAAAACCUCCUAGAUAAAUCCAGAGGGUCCCUGGUGUGAGGACAUCUUGGCUGUGCCAUAGGGUAAGACCCACGAGGCGUUAGGUCUGUGCACAAAUGGGUUGUAUGGAAGGCAGGGUCUUGAUGCUAGGGUUUACUACAUCUACCCCUGGGCCAGACGCUGGAGCCCAUGGCGUUCAUGUAAAUGCCGAGAUCCACGGGGUUUAGCCUUUGAGUCUGAGAAGGACUAGUCUUUGAGGUCCAAACUGACUUUGGGGAGGCCCCCUUCCAAAGUUGUGACACCAUGCCUUCGCACAUAAAUAGAGGGGUAGUGGCAACCUAUGGAAUAUAAGAUUUGGAGCCUCUAAUUCUCUCUUGUUCUAGUUGUUGUCUUGUUUGAUCUAUAGUAGAUCUAGUUAUAGUUGACUCUAAUCCUCAUAAUAGAGAAGCCAUGUGUGGUUCUCUUAUUCUCCCUCUAAUUCUCCAGCAACGAUUAGCUGUGGACGUUGAAGCGCUACCCGAUCGUGAAUCCUGUAAGCUUGCAAUCUGUAGAGAGGUCGUGCUUUUGGUCUUCGGUUCAAGGGAUCAUUCGUGAAUGGUUUGAGGGACUUCAUCGACGAUCUACACCAACUCUUCUGCCACUGAAACUCGAAGUUUUUAACUAUCUGAUCUAACCUUGUAUGCAUCUUCAUAGUAUUCCUUGGAUCAUGAUCGUAGGGCGAUUACCUAACACUACCAGGGUUGGCUAAUAAUUUUAUGGGCAAUCAAAGAUAGCCUAGUCGCAAACACCCGAGGGAAAUUUAGCAAUGUUGUUAAUGUGGGUAAUAGGUCGAGGCGAAUGGUGUUAGCACCCUUCACAUUUGGAAUAAGCACGAGAAUCAUGUAGUUAGCCGUUUAGUGCCCACAUUGCCCAAACAAAAGGCUUCCAUAAUCUUAUAAAGAAGAGGUUUAAGGGUAAUCCAAAACUUCUUGAAAAUGGAAUAAAAAAGCAUCGGGCCCUGUAGUCGAAGUGGACUUCAAAGAGGAAAUGGCCUCAUCCAUUUCCUCAGCGGAAAGGGGUAUCAUCAAGGCUUCUUUAUCCACACGAGAAACACACUGAUCAAUCGUCCAAGCUUGGGGGUUAAACAAGAAACCAGGAAGCUGAUGGAAGCGUAGAAGGGUGGAAUGAAAAUCAUAGAUAUGGAAAGUAAUGACAUGUUCGUGUGGGGUGAUUACACCAUUAAUAAACAACCGAUUAAUAAACCAGCACCUCUAGCUAGCCAUUGGCUGGUGUGUGAAAGUACGCAAUGUUGGUGUCUCCCUUCAAAAUCCACUUAAAACUACCCCUCGACUUCAAGUAAAUCUCAUCAGUGUGGUGGAUAGUUACAAGCGUUGCCUCAAGAUCAUAACCAUGCUGCCAACCACUAGCAUCCAACCCAGGUGACUCACCAAACUAAUUUAAGCACUUAUUAUUAUUAGCUAAUAACCAUUUUGAUUUUAAAGAUUCAGCAUGCUGAUUGGACCACCAACCUUCAAGAAAAUUUUGUGGUCGCUGAGAACAGAAGUGCUAGUCGUUGAUCGGGCAAUCCCUCUUGAGAGGAUUACAUUUGUUAUGGACAAGCGAAUCAAGCCUCUGAUCAAGAAUCAAUUAGACUCAAAGUGGAAUUGGGAUGGAGGGCCAAACAAAGAUUCACAAAGUCAACAAUCAGCGGUGCAUGAUCAGAGCCAAUGAGGGUGUUUGCAGUCAACAAAGCACGAGGAAAUUUGUAUUCCUAGUCACAUGACAUGAAAACAUGGUCAUGACACAUCUUAUGGGGUCCAAUUUUCGGUCGAACCAAGUGAAUCGAGCUCCAACUCGAUGUAAUUCAUGCAUCACAAGAUCAUUUAAUCACGUCAUUAAAGGCCUGGGAGCAAGACCAAUGGAAGUUGGUGUUGUUCUUGUCUUUGGCAUCUCGCAGGGGAUUGAAGGUCUUCCAAUUUUCAGCCGCUAGCUAGCCAUUGGCCGGUGUGUGAAAAUAGGCAAUGUUGGUGUCUCCGUUCAAAUUUCCAACACGAACUCAGAGGAAAAUGAUCAACUAGGCCAUAGAUGUUAAUAAAUUCCCUUGAAAAUUUGAUGUUCUUUUGUAGCACCACCAUGGUAUCAAAGAACCAUCCAAAGCAACUGAAGCAACCACAAAGCUAUCAUCUUUGGUCCCAAUCAAGAUUCCACCCGAGUGGCCAAAUGCAGGGUCCAUCCCCAUGAAAAGAUACUAGAGCCCACAAUGGAACAAAGCUCCUGAUAACUGAAAGACUAUUUAAUAGUUUUUGGUAAACAAAUUAUGUCGAUGUUUACACUAUGAAUGUAGUCAUCAAGCUAGUUGGUAUGCCCCCUAGUGCCAAACCACGCAUGUUAUAAAAUUAUAUUCUUAUUUGAUUGAGAGGUUGUAGAUAUAAAUGCUAAAGCUAUAAGGCAUGAAGCCCCAUUGCCUACACCGAUGUCAUUUUUAACCUCACUCGCCCGAUGGCCACAACCACCAAGAGAAACAACGGACCAUUGACUAGUCCCUGAAUUGGCCUAGGCGAAGUAGGUGCAUAAUUGGUGCAAAGAGUUUUUUCUACCAUGAUCCUAGAUAACACAAGUUUUGCCAAGGCUAUCUCAUUCGCACGAAUAACUAAUAAAAGAGAGCUAGGCUCGCCAAACGUAGAGUCAAAAUGAAUGCAUGAAUCAUAUGCAACAACAAGUAAAUGAUGGUCUGAUAAAGCAAAAAGGGCCAGAAACUCGGGAGGCGGUGCCAUACAAUGAGGGUCCAUGUUCUUUACCACUGCCAAAAUCUCUGCCUACUUCUUGAUAGAUUCACUCGAGCGUGGCAAGAGUGUGCCCUUGCACACAGUAGAGACGGGAUUGGUGAUCACCAAAGACUUCAGAGGAAGCCAGAGCAUCACCAGCAACACCCUUCACAGAUUCGCCCAUCUAUUUGGUGUUUUUGUUUCUAUGCUUGAUCAUAUCAGCAGAGAAUUCCUAGUUCUCAGGGCUCUCCCAACCUAUCUCCACACGUGAUGUCAGAGAAAGUGGGAAUGCCUUGAAAGGAGUAGAUUGAAGCACAUUAGGAUAGGGGAAAUAAUCAUGCCCACUGGAGUCAACAAUACCUGAAAGGGACGGGGAAGCAAGACAUCAGAUAGAUUGGAGCAGUCCGAGAGGUGAGCAUCAACAGUCCCAAAGUUCAGGCCAUAUUCAAAGAUACCCUCAUCUCUAUCCACACAAGGUGGCUGGCUUACAACUAGGGUAAACCGCUUGUAUCUUCCGACCGAGAGAGUCCCAUUCUUCAUCCUUCAAAGGUUGAUCAUCAAAAGAAUCAUCCUUAUAUUUAUCCUUGGGAUUCUCCUUGCUCUGAUCAUCAGGUUUGUGGGAUGAGGCCAACUUGGGCGGAGAAACACCAUCUUUGACCUCAACCUUGAGCUUGAUGUGAUAGGCCUUGGUUUGUUGGUAUAUCAAGGAAGCUUUAAAUCCGAUCCAGAGCUCGGCACAAGAUAUGCAUGUGAAUAGAGCUCAAACAACAGAGACAGCUCCCCGCGAAUUGCAUUGGCUUUCCGAUCAAAUCAGAUAAAUCCGUCAUCGAUGGUACAUCACGCAUCUCUUGCGUGGCAUCGUUAAGUAGGACCUAGGUGUCGACCAGAGAGCUACAGGACUUGGUUGCCUUAGGGCCGCAACCACCUUAUAAGAAACCUCAUUUAGAGCCAGGGUGAAACUCACACUUUUAUCAUGCUAGUUCAAGCUUUCAACGUAGGGGAAAUCACAACAAACUAUUUUGCUGACAUGUUGGACUGAUAGUCCCAAGCAUCAAUGUCCUAGGUGCGUAGUUCAUCUUGUAUGAGCUGAAUUGGCUACUUGUACUCUUGGAAAAUCAAUUAUCUUAGGCACCCUAUGCACCUCGAUUGAGGGACUAAAAAAAUGAUACAAUUAAAAACUUCUUUCUAAUACAAACCUAGCAAUAUAAUUUUUAUAAAAUAUCACAUAUAUUUGCAAAUCAAAUCUAUGAUAAGAGUUUGAACAAAAAUACAAGGGGGCUUGAUAAACUUGGACAGACGGAGUAUUAACCCAAGAGCACCUAGUGACGGUCGGAUGGAAACACUACCAGGAAAAGGCUUAUAGGCCGGCUCAAUUUAGUGGCAGGCGUGGUAAGACAGCCGCCACAUCUAUUUUGGAAAAGUUCCAGUGGCUAGUAUAAAAGAUAGGGCGCCACUAUUAUUUGUAUAGUAGUGGUUGGCAAAAACUACAACCCGCCACUCGCAAAAAUUUGCAAAUUUAUCCGUGGGAUAAAAGCAGCAGUGACAGGCAAAUAAUAAGUGCCUGCCACUAGUUUGUCAUUAUCCAGUGGUGGGGAAGAAACAUGCCCGCCACAGCAAUAUUUCGGAAACCCGCGCCAAACAAUUUCCAAAAUUUCAAAAAGUUUGCAGUGGCAGGCCCUAUGGGCCGCCCACGACAAAAAAUGCAAAAUAGUCUCAAAUGUGAGCAUCAGGCUUCCAAUGGUGUUUAUUAAUCAUGGAAAAGUUUGAAGUUGAAAUGAUAUAUAAAAAUUGAUGUGUCUGGCAAGCGGCGGUUUUCGUUGAAACCCUGAUACUUCGCAAGAGAGUGUUUCGUUUGUACAUGAAGUGCAUCAAGUUUUUGUCUUAAUGUUCUCAAAUUUUCACCACACACUACAACGGUCCUAUGAAGACACCAUGGAAAGUUCAUCCAAUUUCAAGCUCGUUUGCAUGCCAAAAGCUUGUUGCCCUUUUUAGUGGUCGAAAAAUUAGUUAAUGCUUCGAAAUAGCAAACCAACUCAAAAAGUAUCCAAAUUUGAGCAUACGACUUCGGAUGGUGUGUAUUAAUCAUAGAAAAAUAUUAAAUUGAAAUGACAUAGAAUAAAUCGAGCUAUGUGUGGAAGGCGGCAGUUUCCAUUCAAAAACCUGAUACUUCCCAGACAGUGUUUGGUAUGUACACGAAGUGCAUAAAUUUUUGUCGUAAUGCUCUCAAAUUUUUACCACACACUACAUGGGUCUUACGAAGACAUCAUGAAAAGUUUUUCCAGUUUCGAGUUUGUUUGCACGCGAAGAGCUUUUGCCCUUUUUAGUGGUCGGAAAAUCAGUUAGUGCUUCAAAAAAAGCAAACCAACUGAAAAUGUCCUCUAAUUUAAGCAUGAUGCUUUCAUAUGGUGUGUGUUAAUCAUAGAAAAAGCUCGAAGUACAAAUGAGGUCAAAAAAUCAUGUAAUGAUGUACCCGAUCACAUAGCAAUGGUAGGUGUAAGUAAAUACUCGUUAGUGCCAGGUCUCUAGCUGCGGCGGGCACUGGGUCAUGCCCGUCACUGCUCUGCACACAUGGAAAACAAUUAGAUUCCCGCCAAACCAACUCAAACCCGAUUCAUCCCGCUCCUCCCAAUCGCGUCGUCGUCAUCAUCGCCACAGCCGUCCUUGCCAUCGAGGUUGUCUCCGUCCGCUGUCACAAGCAUCCUCCGUCCUCGCCCUCGUGCUCGUCCUCCAUCAACUGUUGUGAACAUCCUCCGCCCUCGCCUGCCGCCAUGGCCUCAUCCUCCAACGGCGGAGGCCUCACCCCGCCGGCUAACUCCUCCUUGACGCAACUCACGCUCCCUCCGCCACAUCGUGCUUCGGCGGCUUCAAUCUCAAGGAAAUUAAGCACCUCUAUCUAUUUGUGAUUUCUCAAUUAAUCCUAGACCAUGAACUAUGUGUUUAUACAUGUUUGUUCCACUAGAAAUCAAGUUUUUGCCAUAAAAGUAGGUUGUUCAGCUUAAUUAGUUUUAACUAAUACAAAAUUAUAGAGUAUUUGUUUAUGUGGUUAUUAGCCAAUUACUUGCGUUCACUUACGAUAAUAUUGUUGUGUCACUCCGUAUGUGAGGAAAGGCUACACUUUUUUUCCUAAAGAAUCUACCUAAUGGCACUAAUUUGAUAUUCUCAAUGUUGACAUAUUGAUGUAUCUUAUAUAUAAUUAAAUGGUAUCCUUUUAUUAUAUUGGUCUCUUAUCCUCACAUACAUUGCAGGGCUUAAAAAUGAGUGUCAAAAUUAUGACGAAACAUUGAUUAAUUUCUGUUUCGCCAUAUUUCUAGCGCACGAUAUGUAGCGACCCGACCUCAGAUGGUCAAGUCUCUGUGCUUCAGUGUCAUCCCUGGAUCGGUAAUGCUGACACACACAGUACUCGAAUGGAUUUAUAACAGAGUAACAAUCACACACUUAUUACAUCGAUAGUCUCAAAAAAGAACUUAUUACAAUAAUAUGGCUUAAGGCCAUCUAAAUAAGAUAACUGCGGAAGACUUGGAAGAUAAAGUGAGUCCAUCAACUCCAACGGCAUAGCUGAGUGCAUGACAAACGACCUAUGGCACCUUACUCGUCGUCUGAAAAUUCUACAACAUGAUACGUUGCAGCCCGAAACGGGCCAGCACAUGAAAUAUGCUGGCAAUAUAACACAGUAGAGCAAUGAACAGAAUAAAUGCUAUCACUACAUGCAUAUAAGGCUGGUGGAGGCUCUAUGGUUACAAAGUUUUUGCGAAAAGCCAAUUUUUCCCUACAACUUAACUAUCAUGGUGGUUGAAACAUCAUUGAGAAGGUUCCUCCAACUCAAUCCUAAUUAAAGUAAUCAUUAACAUCCCAACAAAUCAAUUUAGAGUGAUGAGAUCAAAUCAAUAAUUCAAGUACCAGAUACUCAAGAUGUCCAUAACCGGGGACACGGCUAACCAUGAUUAGUUUAUACACUCUGCAGAGGUUUGCGCACUUUUCCCCACAAGACCCGAUCUCCUCUGUUGGAUUUCUCGCACUACAUGGUGUUUGAGAAACGGAUGACCGAGACACAGUCUUUCAGAAGCAUUAACUCUAACCCUGGGUAGACAGUACCAACCUACAUCCCCUACAUCUGCUAGCCUACCACUGGAAGAGGUCAUGCAACAUACUCAACUAUUCUAGAGCCCAGAAUAGCUUGUGGCUGCACACGGAAGUUUCUAGCAUGAAUAAUCUAAUGAUCCCUUUGAGCCUGGGUGGCGGACCGUAGGAUGAUCACACGGGUACUCCAGGAUAUCCUAGGACAACACUGGAUUCUCCAGGUGCCCGCAAGCAAUCCACCCAGAUGGGUAUUAAAGUUGCCACCUUAAGUUAACCAUUAAUUAACAAUCUCACAUCUGUCAUGGAUUCACUCACCCAAACCACGUCUACGAGCAUAGCAUGGCAAUACAAGCAUAACGUAGAAGUAACUCCCAAGGGUUUGAUAAUAAAACAGGUAAUAGGUUCUACCUCAUCAACUACUUCCCAGAUACCCACAUGUUAAGAGAUCCUACUCAUGCAAUGUUUGAGGGUUGAAACUAAUGCAUAAAAACUGGGUAUUAAAGGGGUAUGAUCAAUGUGUUACUUGCCUUGCUGACGAUCCGCGAAACCUAGUGACUCGUAGUAGCACGCUUCGCACUCCGGGAAUUCUAUCGCAAACAAACAAUAGCAUACAUAAGCACUCAAACAAAGAUGCAUGGGUAAAACUCAAAUAAGAAUAUUUAACCAGAAAGUUCAAUUGAAGAACUCCGAUUUGCAAAAAGAAUCAAAUCAAACGGAGCAACGAAAUUCAAACUACAAAAGAAACAAGAUCCGUUUCUAAUCUGGACUAAAGUCAAAUUUACAGUACCAAAAUCUUGUUCAAGUUGGUUAAACAGAAAGAGGUCUUUGAGACGAAGACCUAGGCGCUUGUUUCACCUGAUUUGGAUAAACGAGCGAAAAAUUAUACUAGAUCGAAGAUUAGGGCAGAAAUCGCGAUCGAAAAUAAUUGCGGAAAAACCCUAGAAAAAGAAAAACUGACGAACAGGCUAACGAACGAACGUUCACUAUCUGCGACUAACCGACGAACAACGUUCAUUAAAACGAACGUACGGACGAACGUCCGCUAUUAAACUAAACCGAAAAAAAUAAAACCGAUCUAUAAAAAAACCUAGGAUUUUUGAAAAAAAACAGGCGGUUUUCUAACGAAACCAGCGGCGGCGGCUACCUCGGCGAGCUCCGGCAGGGUCGGCGGCGGCUCCGGCGGGGUUGGCGGCGGCGGCGGUGAGCGGAUCCGACGGCGGGNNNNNNNNNNNNNNNNNNNNNNNNNNNNNNNNNNNNNNNNNNNNNNNNNNNNNNNNNNNNNNNNNNNNNNNNNNNNNNNNNNNNNNNNNNNNNNNNNNNNNNNNNNNNNNNNNNNNNNNNNNNNNNNNNNNNNNNNNNNNNNNNNNNNNNNNNNNNNNNNNNNNNNNNNNNNNNNNNNNNNNNNNNNNNNNNNNNNNNNNNNNNNNNNNNNNNNNNNNNNNNNNNNNNNNNNNNNNNNNNNNNNNNNNNNNNNNNNNNNNNNNNNNNNNNNNNNNNNNNNNNNNNNNNNNNNNNNNNNNNNNNNNNNNNNNNNNNNNNNNNNNNNNNNNNNNNNNNNNNNNNAGGGUUUCGGUUGGGUCGGGCCCCUCGGCUUAUAAAGGCCGGCCGGGCUAGUGUCCAGGUCGGUUCGUUUUUUUAAUGUUCCGACGCGGAGAAAAACAAUUAAAAGGAAUACUAAUCGGACUCCAAAAAUCCUGAAAUAAAUUUUCCCCGUCCUCUAAAAAUAUUUUGGACAAAGUGAACAUUUAUUUGGACCUCUAAUGCAAUUUCGAAAAACGCAUAUUUUUCCUAAUUCAAAUAAAAUUGCAAUAAAAUCCAAAUAAAAUUAAUUAUUUGAUUUUAAUAUUUUUCCUCCAAUAUUUCAUUUAUUUUGGAGAAGUCAUAUUAUCUCCUUUCAUAUUUUUUUAAUUAGAAAUAUUUUCGGAGAGAAAAUAAUUAAAACCAAAAUGAUCCUUGUUUCAAUAUUUGAAAAAAAAUUCAAAUAUGAAGAACGUGAAAUCCCCAACUCUCUCCGUGGGUCCUUGAGUUGCUUAGAAUUUCGAGGAUCGCGAAACGAAAUGCAAUAAAAAUAUGAUAUGCAUGAUGUCCUAUGUAUAACAUUCCAAAUUGAAAAUUUGGGAUGUUGCAAACCUACCCCCCUUAAGAUGAAUCUCGUCCUCGAGAUUCGGGUUAGCUAGAAAAUAGGUGCGGGUGGUCCUUGCGUAGAACAUCUUCUCGUUCCCAGGUGGCUUCAUCCUCGGUAUGGUGGCUCCACUGAACUUUGCAAAACUUGAUAACCUUGCUGCGAGUAACUCGGCUGGCAAACUCGAGAAUCUUGACUGGUUUCUCCUCAUAAGUCAGAUCACUAUCCAACUGGAUUGCUUCCAGGGGCACUGUGUCUCUCAGAGGAAUAUCGGCCAUCUCUGCAUGGCACUUCUUCAACUGGGAACCAUGGAACACAUCAUGAACUCCUGACAGUCCUUCGGGUAACUCCAACUUGUAGGCUAGUUCUCCCAUGCGUUCCAAAACCCGAUAUGGUCCUACAAAUCUCGGGGCUAGCUUUCCCUUAACUCCAAAACGUUUAACUCCUCGUAGUGGUGACACACGGAGAUAUGCUCUGUCUCCGAUUUCAUAUACUACCUCCUUGCGUUUCGAGUCUGCAUAGCUCUUCUGUCUGGACUGAGCUACCUUCAGUCUAUCUCGGAUCAACUUAACCUUCUCUUCUGACUCUUUGAUCAAAUCCGGUCCAAACAACUGGCGAUCUCCAACUUCAUCCCACAUUAACGGUGUUCUGCACCUCCUUCCAUACAAGGCUUCGAACGGUGCCAUCUUCAAACUGGCCUGGUAGCUGUUGUUGUAUGAGAACUCCGCAUAGGGCAAGUUGUCAUCCCAACUAGAUCCAUAAUCCAGCGCACAAGCUCUCAACAUGUCCUCCAGAAUCUGAUUCACUCUCUCGGUCUGUCCAUCUGUCUGCGGAUGAAAAGUUGUACUGAAUUCUCCUGGUACCCAAAAUCUGGUGCAACUGAUGCCAAAACUUUGAAGUAAAAUGUGUUCCUCUAUCUGAUACGAUGGUCCUCGGAACUCCGUGCAGACAUACGAUCCUGGUCAUAUAUAUCUUGGCCAACUUCGCACUGGUAUAAGUGGUCUUCACUGGGAUAAAGUGAGCCACUUUGGUCAAGUGAUCCACUACUACCCAGAUAGAAUCAUAUCCCGAUCGGUUCCUGGGUAAUCCUGUAAUGAAAUCCAUGCCAAGUUUAUCCCACUUCCAUUCGGGUAUCGGCAUAGGCUGCAGUAGUCCUGCUGGCUUCUGAUGUUCUGCCUUCACUCUCUGACAUACAUCACAUACGGCUACAUACUCGGCAAUAUCCUUCUUCAUUCCAGUCCACCAGAAACGCUCCUUCAAAUCCAAAUUCAUCUUGGUGUUUCCCGGGUGUAUCGAGUAUGGCGAGUCAUGGGCUUCCUGAAGUAUCAACUUCCUAAUCUAUGCGUUAUUGGGCACAUAUACUCGGUCCUCAAACCACAAGGUGUCGUGCUCAUCCUCACGAAAACCUUUGGCCUUUCCUUUGCUCAUUCUCUCCUUUAUCUCGGCAAUUUCUUUGUCAUCCUUCUGAGCUUCUCGAAUCUUUCCCAAUAAUGUUGACUGAACCUCCAACGCUACAACAAAACCUCUAGGAACUAUCUCCAAACGAAGCUCCCUGAGAUCUUAUGCUAACUCUUUUGGCAAUCCUCCGCUUACGAGGGUAUUGACAUAACUCUUCCGGCUCAAAGCGUCUGCUAUGACAUUGGCCUUUCCUGGAUGAUAGUGCAACUUCAUAUCAUAAUCCUUUAUGAGUUCCAACCAUCUCCUUUGCCUGAGGUUCAGCUCCUUCUGUGUGAAAAUGUACUUCAAACUCUUAUGAUUCGUGUACACAUCACAACGAUUCCCAAUAAGAAAAUGUCUCCAAGUCUUGAGCGCAUGCACUACAGCUGCUAACUCCAAAUCAUGCGUUGCAUAAUUGAACUCAUGCGGUCGAAGCUGUCGUGAGGAAUAUGAAACAACUCUUCCGUCCUGCAUAAGUACUCCUCCAAGUCCUAAGCGAGAGGCGUCACAAUACACUUGGAAAUCCUUGCGUAUAUCCGGCAGAAUCAGCACUGGGGCUGUAGUCAAACUUUUCUUCAACUCCUGGAAACUUGCUUCACAUUCUUCAGUCCAAUGGAACUUGGUGUCCUUCUUCAACAAUGCCGUCAUGGGCUUCGCAAUCUUGGAAAAAUUCUCGAUGAAUCUCCGAUAGUAUCCCGCGAGUCCAAGAAAACUGCGGAUCUCUCCAACUGAAGUGGGAGCUAACCACUCAGUGACGGACUGAACCUUGGUAGGAUCCACUGCUAUACCUUCUCCUGAUAUAACAUGUCCAAGAAAUCCAACUUCCUUCAACCAAAACUCACAUUUGCUGAACUUGGCGUACAACUGAUGUUCCCUAAGUUUCUCGAGAUCUAAUCGCAAAUGCUCCUUGUGCUCUUCUUCAUUCUUCAAGUAUACCAAGAUAUCAUCAAUGAACACCAUGACAAACUUAUCCAAGAACUCCAUAAACACCUUAUUCAUCAUACUCAUGAAAUAGGCAGGGGCAUUAGUCAAUCCAAAUGACAUAACCGUAUACUCGUAAAGCCCGUACCUCGUGGUGAAGGCUGUCUUAGGUAUAUCCUUUUCUUGGAUCUUCAACUGGUGGUAUCCUGAUCGUAGAUCGAUCUUGGAGAAUACUUUAGCUCCUUGUAACUGGUCAAACAAAUCAUUGAUCAUCAGCAGUGGGUACUUGUUCUUGAUCGUCACUUCAUUCAACGCACGAUAAUCAACAACCAUUCUCAAUGAUCCAUCCUUCUUCUCAACCAGGAGCACUGGGGCUCCCCAUGGCGAUGAACUUCGUCGAAUGUAACCUUUCUCCAAUAAAUCCUUAAUCUGCUUCUUGAUCUCUUCCAGAUCAUUCGCGGGCAUCCGGUAUGGCCUCUUUGAUAUUGGUCCGGUGCCUGGCAAUAGCUCUAUCAAAAACUCGAUGUCUCGAUCUAGCGGCAUGCCUGGUAGCUCCUCUGGAAAUACAUCUGGGUAAUCCUUCACUACGGGCACUUCCUCCUGGACGACUCCGGAAAGGGAAUUUACUUGGGUCCUCCUUGGCGCAUGCCUGGAUACAUACUUAAUCCGUUUUCCCUCCGGGGUAGUGAGCAUAAUUGAUUUGCUUGCGCAAUCAAUGUUUCCUCCAUACUUCGAUAGCCAAUCCAUUCCUAGUAUCACAUCGAAUCCUUGUGACUCCAAGAUUAUUAGAUCUGAGGGGAAAAGGUGACUGCCAAUGGUUAGGGGUAACCGGUCGCACCAUUGGCUGGCCAUAUACUCUGCACCAGGUGAGCUUGCUAGCAAAGGUGUCCUAAGGGCUAAGGUGGGUAGCCUAAACUUGUCCACAAAUCCCCUUGAAAUGUAUGAAUGUGAUGCACCAGUACCGAAAAGAACAAGAGCGGUAAAUGCUUUAACCAAAAACUUACCGAUAACUGCAUCUGGCUGCUCUUCAACCUCCUCCGCGUUCACGUGGUUCACUUGUCCCCUAUUGAAAGGGUUGGGCUUCUUCCCAGAACUUCCAUUGCCAUUUCCAUUCUUCGCUUCAGGGCACUCCGUGGCAUAGUGUCCAGUCUUCCCGCACUUGAAACAAGUAAUGUGACUUAGGUCCUUCUUGGCGGGUGUGGCUGGAUUGGAGCGGUUCUGAUUGCUGCUUGCUCCAUUCCCAUUCCCAUUCUUGGGGCCAUUGGGGUUAUGAGAGCUUCCUCCAUUGUGAGUGUGGCCUCCAUGGUUAUGGGUGUAUCCUCCCGAGUUCGGGGUAAACCGAGGCUUCUGCGAUGUUCCUGAAUUAUAUUUCCCUUGUCCAUACUUCCUCUUGCGGCUCUCAAUCUGCUGAUGCUUCCCUUCAAUCAUAAGAGCCAUGUCUAUCAACUCCUGGUAGUUGUUAAAUGUUGCCACCAUCAACCGCAUGCUCAUCUCAUCAUUCAGCCCUUCCAUAAACUUCUCCUACUUCGCGGCAUCUAUGGCCACAUCGUCAGGGGCAUAGCAAGAUAACUUACUAAACUCCUCUACGUACUGAGCUACAGUACGAUUUCCCUGGCGCAAGUUGCGAAACUCACGCUUCUUCAUGCUCAUAGCUCCAGUUGAGACAUGGGCUGUGCGGAAAGCUUGCUGAAACUGCUCCCAAGUGACAUUGGCUAUAGGGAAAGUGGUCGUGUAAUUCUCCCACCAUGAAGCUGCUAGUCCGUCCAAUUGAUGUGCAGCAAAGCGCACCUUCUCUGCAUCUGUGCAACCUGUGGUGGUCAACUCCCUCCCAAUACGUCGUAGCCAAUCAUCAGCAACUAUUGGCUCGGUGCUACUGGAAAACACCGGCGGCUGCAACCUCAGAAAACGGGCUAAAUUGUCAACUAGAGGUGGUGGCGGUGGGUUGUUGUUGUUGUUGUUGCCUUGGUUCUAAACUAAUAACUGCAUCAAGGCAUUCUGCUGCUGGAUCAACUGAGUGAGCUCCGGUGGGAAGACAAAUCCGGGGUCACGUCUCGGAGGCAUCUGAUGGGUUUAGAGGGAAGAGAUUAGAAUAGAAAAGAGGUCUAAUGAGAAAACACUACCCAUAUGCACAUGAGACAAACACAAACUUAUCAUAUCACUCAAUCAAUCAAGCAAGGGCAUACAAUCGGUCUAGAACUAUCGUUACAAAAGUGCUCUGACUACUACUAUAUACAGGGGCUACUAAUAAUAUGGUGGUCAUCUAGAAAUAUUGAUCGGUGGAAGACUCCAUGAUGUCCGCUCCAGCUUCGUCUUCAUAAUCAUCAUCACUAUCGUCGGGGUCGGAGUCGGUAUCGUCGAUGAUGAUGUAGUCUUCAGAAUGAAUUUCCUUGGGUUCGUCGUCUUCUCCUCCUGGCACGGGGUCUCCCAUGAAUACUCCUAGCUUCCUUGUCAGGUCGUCAUUCUUUUCCACAAGUAUCGCGAUUUCCUCCACAUAUCCGUCGUGUGUAGACUUGAGUUCCUCUUCUAGCUCCAUGUUUCUCGUCACCGCCUUCUUCAAAUCCAUCAUGCUUCAGCACAUCUGGUUCUCCUGUCGACGAAUGUGUUGGUUUAACUCCUGGAUGAAAGCUGCAAUGGACAUGUCUCUCCUGGUGCUGAUCAUCUCCCAUUGCUCGUCCCGACGCCCACAUAUCUGAUAGAUAGUGUCCUUCAGCUCCUGUUUGCAGACUUCUCUAAUACGUCCCAUAGCAAUGUGGGCUGCCAUGCUCUUGCCUAGAAUCCAGGUGGGUGCAUCAAAGGAAAACUCUGUGGGCUCCGUGACUGGCGUGAAUGUUCUUCCUGGAACUUGAACUCGAAUCAUCCAUCGCUCCUCUUCUAGUAAAGUGGUGGUGUAGGUCCCGGUGAAGCUUGGCAUUCCGAUGUUCAGGUACCUAGUGACUUCCUUCAAGUGUCGUCCAAAAGGUGUGUCUUCAUCCGGUUGUGCAAAUUUGUUCCUUGCGUCUGCCAUCCUAAAGAGUAGAAAAUAGAGAGGAGUCAGAAAUGAGUAGAGAAGAGUGACCUAAGGCUCAUCUUAGUGGUCGUGUCCUACAUUCAGCGUGUGCUCUGAUACCACCUCUAUAGAGACCCGACCUCAGACGGUCAAGUCUCUGUGCUUCAGUGUCAUCCCUGGAUCGGUAAUGCUGACACACACAGUAUUCGAAUGGAUUUAUAACAGAGUAGCAAUCACACACUUAUUACGUCGAUAGUCUCAAAAGAGAACUUAUUACAAUAAUAUGGCUUAAGGCCAUCUAAAUAAGAUAACGGCGGAAGACUUGGAAGAUAAAGUGAGUCCAUCAACUCCAACGGCAUAGCUGAGUGCAUGAAAAACGACCUAUGGCACCUUACUCGUCGUUUGAAAAGUCUGCAACAUGAUACGUUGCAUCCCGAAACGGGUCAGCACAUGGAAUAUGCUGGCAAUAUAACACAGUAGAGCAAUGAACAGAAUAAAUGCUAUCACUACAUGCAUAUAAGGCUGGUGGAGGCUCUAUGGUUACAAAGUUUUUGCGAAAAGCCAUUUUUUCCCUACAACAAAGGAAUAUAUUUUACUUAACUAUCAUGGUGGUUGAAACAUCAUUGAGAAGGUUCCUCCAACUCAAUCCUAAUUAAAGUAAUCAUUAACAUCCCAACAAAUGAAUUUAGAGUGAUGAGAUCAAAUCAAUAAUUCAAGUACCAGAUACUCAAGAUGUCCAUAAUCGGGGACACGGCUAACCAUGAUUAGUUUAUACACUCUGCAGAGGUUUGCACACUUUUCCCCACAAGACUCGAUCUCCUCCGUUGGAUUUCUCGCACUACAUGGUGUUUGAGAAACGGAUGGCCGAGACACAGUCUUUCAGAAGCAUUAACUCUAACCCUGGGUAGACAGUACCAACCUACAUCCCCUACAUCUGCUAGCCUACUACUUAAGAGGUCAUGCAACAUACUCAACUAUGCUAGAGCCCAAAAUAGCUUGUGGCUGCACACGAAAGUUCUAGCAUGAAUAAUCUUAUGAUCCCUUUGAGCCUGGGUGGCGGACCAUAGGAUGAUCACACGGGUACUCCGGGAUAUCCUAGGACAACACUGGAUUCUCUAGGUACCCGCAAGCAAUCCACCCAGAUGGGUAUUAAAGUUGCCACCUUAAGUUAACCAUUAAUUAACAAUCUCACAUCUGUCAUGCAUUCACUCACCCAAACCACGUCUACGAGCAUAGCAUGGCAAUACAAGCAUAAUGUAGAAGUAACUCCCAAGGGUUUGAUAAUAAAACAGGUAAUAGGUUCUACCUCAUCAACUACUUCCCAGAUACCCACAUGUUAAGAGAUCCUACUCAUGCAAUGUUUGAGGGUUGAAACUAAUGCAUAAAAACUGGGGUUAAAGGGGUAUGAUCAAUUUGUUACUUGCCUUGCUGACUAUCCGCAAAACCUAGUGACUCGUAGUAGCACGCUUCGCACUCCGGGAAUUCUAUCGCAAACAAAUAAUAGCAUACAUAAGCACUCAAACAAAGAUGCACGGGUAAAACUCAAAUAAGAAGAUCUAACCAGAAAGUUCAAUUGAAGAACUCCGGUUUGCAAAAAGAAUCAAAUCAAAUGGAGCAACGAAACUCAAACUACGAAAGAAACAAGAUCCGUUUACUAAUCUGGACUAAAGUCAAAUUUUAUAGUACCAAAAUCUUGUUCAAGUUGGUUAAACAGAAAGAGGGCUUCGAGACGAAGACCUAGGCGCUUGUUUCACCUGAUUUGGAUAAACGAGCGAAAAGUUAUACUAGAUCAAAGAUUAGGGCAGAAAUCGCGAUCGAAAAUAAUCGCGGAAAACCCUGGAAAAAGAAAAACUGACGAACAGGCGUAGGGACGAACGUCCGCUAUUAAACUAAACCGAAAAAAACAACGAUCUAUAAAAAAAACCUAGGGUUUUCGAAAAAAACAAGCGGGUUUCUAACGAAAACCGGCGGCGGCGGCUACCUCNNNNNNNNNNNNNNNNNNNNNNNNNNNNNNNNNNNNNNNNNNNNNNNNNNNNNNNNNNNNNNNNNNNNNNNNNNNNNNNNNNNNNNNNNNNNNNNNNNNNNNNNNNNNNNNNNNNNNNNNNNNNNNNNNNNNNNNNNNNNNNNNNNNNNNNNNNNNNNNNNNNNNNNNNNNNNNNNNNNNNNNNNNNNNNNNNNNNNNNNNNNNNNNNNNNNNNNNNNNNNNNNNNNNNNNNNNNNNNNNNNNNNNNNNNNGCUGCGGGGCGACGGCGAGGCGGCGGCGCGGCUCGGGAGUCGAGGCGGGGCGCGGCGGGCUAGGGUUUCGGUUGGGUCGGGCCCCUCGGCUUAUAAAGGCCGGCCGGGCUAGUGUCCAGGUCGGACACGGCCCGGUAAGGUCGGUUCGUUUUUUUUAAUAUUCCGACGCGCAGAAAAACAAUUAAAAGGAUUACUAAACGGACUCCAAAAAUCCUGAAAUAAAAUUUCCCUGUCCUCUAAAAAUAUUUCGGACAAAGUGAACAUUUAUUUGGGCCUCUGAUGCUAUUUCGAAAAAUGCAUAUUUUUCCUAAUUCGAAUAAAAUUGCAACAAUGUUAAAAAGUAGGUUGUUUUGCUUAAUUAGUUGUGACUAAAACAAAAUUAUAGAGUAUAUCUUUAUGUGGUUAUUAGCCAGUUAAUUCCGUUCAUUUAAGAUAAUACAUUGUGUCACUCCGUGACUAUUCGAGCUUAUAUGCAUUUGAUAUGCGCGACAAGAUGAACCAUGAUAUGGAUCAUGUUUAUAGAUUCACAUGUAUAUGAUGAAGCCUAUAGGAAAAAUUUCUAAGGAAUCUAGCUAAUGACAAUAAUUUGAUAUUCUAGAUGAUGACAUAUUGAUGUUUCUUAUAUGCACUUAAUUGUUUAUUCUAUUGGUCCCUUAUCCGUAUGGAGUGCUCAGACAUUAUAGGGUUUCAAAAUGAGUGUCAAAAUUACGGCGAAACAUUGACUAAAUUUUGUUUUGCCACAUUUCUGGCACUUGAUCUUUCAUUUUUAUCAGAAGUUAUGCCCAAUUUUUCGUCGAUCCAUACUUUUUAAUGUUUAUUUUAUCGACGUGUUGAAUGUACUAUGUAUAAAUGAUGCCAUUAAACUAUGUGAUUUCUAUUUGAUUUCUUCUGCUACUUAAAUGUUAUAUAGUGUAUUUAUACGUGUUUGUUCUAAUUCUUGUUGGUUUAGAUUAACGACACAACAAUGUCAAAACUAUGUUAUUUCUAUUUCAUUUCUAAACAUUAAUAUAAGGAAUGAACCAAGAAUGGACUUGGUGUGGCGGCAACAGGCUAGGUGCCUGCCACAGGUGCACCUUCAAUGCAAUGAAAUAGAAAUAGAUCUUCAGGAGGACUUUCUUGAGUGGUUGGUAUGUGUUAAUUCAACUUGUGUUGUGGCUAAUGAGUUGCUCACGUUUAUAAAGUUGCACACCAAAAUGACUAAUUGUUGUUUUCUUUCAAUUAUGCACAGUGCGUCCCUUGUUGGGGAAGGGCAGACUUCACGCAUAGGGAAAAACUACCUAUAGAAGAGGAGGGCACAUUUGAGGUCAAGAUGGCCUUGUUAAAAAAGGGCAUAGCCUUGGUCACCAACUAGGCACACCGAACGUACUUCAGUGGUUCUAGUUGGAUACAUAUUGCAACAUAAAUGAAGAUGGAAGCUGGGAGGGCGUGCAUGUUGUUUCUUGGCAAAGUAAAUGAUACCGAUGACAUCUAUUUGUGGUACAAUAUCUCGCAGUCACCAUUGUUGUUUCUUGGUAUUGAUCCCGUCGUACUAUCAUUUCGUUGAACAUACAUGUUGUAUGCGGUUAAUGUAAUUUUAUUUGAAAGCGUUAAGCAAUAAAUGUAUGUUCUUAAAGUGUGCUAUAUAUGCGGAAAUUACUUUUGGAGGCCGAGCUCCAUGAAGGCCUCCAAAUGCAAAAUUCAAAAUUCAAAAUUCACAUUUUUACAGUUCAAAAAAUUCUAAAAAAAAUACAGAGAUAGAUGAAGGCAAAGUGCACAAGUAUGUAAAUUUUCAGGAUGAAAUACGUUGAAAUGAGGGCUGUGCAAAAAAGACAAAUCUGAGGCUUUUUAACAAAUGAUACUAUUCAUCCUCCUAGACCAUGAAUUAUUCUUCUUGUAAAGGUUGCAUUUCAAUGUAUUUCAUCCUGAAAUUUUACACACAUACGCCUCACAUCCUUAUUUACUCGUACAAAAAAUUUCAUUUUGAAACCGGAAUUUUGAAUUUUUUAAAAAACCGGCCUCCAUGGAGGCCAAGUGCCAAACGUCUGUUCUCCUAUAUACGACUCUGCAAGGAUAAUAUUACUAUUAAAAUUAAAACAGCCGUCACGGCAGUAAAAAACACUGCCGCGACAACUUUUAUUCUUUUGGCUUGGCAAAGUAUAUCACUGGUGCCCGCGACAGGUACUGAGAAUAACAGUGAUGGGCAACACGUCCGCCACUGAAGCCAUGUUAUCAGUGGCGGCCAUCAUUGAGAGACUUUUUUUGCGAAUACGCAUAGCUUGCGUAUCAUUUCAUUGAUAGAAGAAGUUAGAACGAGUACAAGAUGUGGUACAAUACAUGACACGAGCGCAAGGGUGUGAACAUGGUGUCCGGAGCAGAGAGACAUGAGAUGCUCGGCCCAAACAAAGAAAAAAAACACGACUAAACUCGCCAUCCUCAGAACUAGCCCAAACCAAUAACACGACGACCAACACCUCCAGAUCCAGAACCGAGGACACCGCGAGCAACCAAGACGACGCCUUCACGAAGGGGAACGACGCCGAGACGCCAUCACCGUCCGAUCCGGAUAACCGGACCUAGGGUUUCCCCUGAUGCUCGAAGAGGGGCACAAACAACAGUCGUGACAGCGCCUCCAAGAAGGGGACGGCACCCACGGGUGUCGCCUUUGCCAACAAAAGAUGCAGCGAUUUCGCCCUAGCCUGAGUCUGAGCAAUCCCAAGCCAUCGGAGCACGAAUAGGAGAAGAAGUUGGCAUAGGCCUGAACCACAACCACAAGAAUGGGAGCGACGCCGGGCGCGCGAGCAACAAAGCGACGGAGGGACAAACGGGGCACGGAGGUGGACGACUGGGCGGAAUGGGAAGCGGAGGAGAAUGUGAUGGUGGCCGGAGGCUCGAGCGAGCCAGGGUCCGGGUCACCGGGACCGAAGCAACACGGACGUUGACAAGUUCGAGGAGCCGGAAGGGGGUGCAGCUCCUAGAGCAAGCCGGAGUCGAAGAUGCACCGGGUUGGAUGGCCAACCAAGGCACCAGCUGGGUGUAGGUGCGAAGGCGCCGAGGCGUCGGCGAGCCAAGGGAGCCGGAAGGAGCACAGCUCCCGGGGGCGCCGGGCCCGGAGCAGCCCUUACCGGCCAUGGGCGUAGGAAGGAGUGCAGGUCCAUGUCCGUUGGGCAGGACUCGCCCCUGCCGGGGUGGGGUGGUGGUGGUGAGCACGCGCACAGCCGAAAUCCCGACAACGCCUCCAAGGCCGCCGCCCGAGGGGUCAGAAGCUCGCGAGGGAGGGGUGGGGGAGAGGAGCCGCAUUAUGGACGACGCACAACGCGAGGGCAGCCAGGGCAGCCGCCGUCGGCACCAAGGCGCAACCGAACCGCCGUACGAAGCUGCGACCUGCGUCCCCGGCCAGUAGCAGCAGAUGGGGGCUAUAUCCAUGAGGAGGAAGCAGGGGAGCAACUUGCACAGGAGGCAAGAGAAGUCGGACCGGCUGGGCGGGGAGCAGCCACCGGAGAAGACCGUCUCGAGCCGCACAAAAGUGGAUCUCGGGGCAGGGGUGGGUGGGGGACGCAACAGGAGGUACGUAUCUGCCCCGCCGCCACCAUCCCUGGGCUCGGCAAAGCUUCGCCGGCAAGCCCUCCAGCGGCUGCGAAGCGGGGAGGGGCGGAGGAUGUGCCUGGCGGCGGCGCUGGGUAGGGUUUCCCCCGUGUCGCCUGUGGUGGCGAUGCGGGGGCCGUCCGGGGAUAUUGAGAGUCUCGCCCGCAAGUGAUAGGCUUUUGGCACCCAUCACUGCAAGAGUGAAAUGAGUUUUGAACGGUGGAUGAGGGUGUGGGCUGGUAUCACGUUCUUUUUUAUAACAAUACUAGAACAAUGCCCGUGCAUUACAGCGGGAUAUAAAUAUUCUAGUAUGUUAGCUUGUGAUUUACCUGUUAAUAAUAAUGCGAUUGUGUGUAAAUGCUAAUCAAAUUCUGACCGUGGAGUACCUUAUAUUUUGAUUAGAAGUUUAAUAAGUAAACUAAAGUGAAAUUGGUUCAGAAGGUAAGUAAAUUAAGAUGAUUGGUUAUCAUAUACAUGAAACGUUGAACGAAUGGGUGGUGAGAAAAAUGAUGAAAUAAAAACCUUAAGUUCUUUUUAAGUGGUAGAGGUUAAGUAAUAGAGAUAUAUGCUGCAAGUUCGAGCAUAAGGAAAAGAAAAAUGGCGCUGAGAAGAAUGCACAGACGUGCCGAAUUAACAAACAAUUUAAAGCUGCUACUGUAGAGGAUUGAUGAGGUGAAAAUCUAUUUCACCUGCUAGAUAGCUAGGUUGGGAUAUGCUACCCCGCAUGCAUAGAGCGAAAGCAAUAUUGCAACGUUUCAGACCCGAGUCCUGUUGGGAGACGCAAGCUACGUAGGUGGCAACUACAUGGAAUUAGUAAUAAGGCCAAUAAAAUCAGGCAUGAACAGUUAGGUUAUGGAUCUAUCAGGCAUUAAUACUUCGUUUCAUACUGUAGAGGUGCCGCUCGGCUACGGAAUUGUAGAAAGUUCAGUUGCCUUAGGAGACGUUCCGGAGACCACUUUAGAUGUCGACUGGACUGUUUGAUUGCUACCCUACCCUGAGCGCAGAUGCAUGGUCUGCCUUUCCUUUGAUCUGCUGGAGGUAUCGUCUUUGAUAUCUCAGCCUGGGAGCUCUUGGCUACGCAGAGCUGUCGGACUCGGCCCUAGGAAAUCGGUGGCCUGAGCUUCUGCCUUGGUACACGUACAAUCACUGCUCUAUCUUGUAGAGUAUCAAACCGGCUCUUGGACUAGCCAUAAUGGAUAGUAACAUACACUACUAACAUACACAUAUUCCUAGACUAUGUUACUUGAGUAGUAACUUAAGUGUGGUAACAUGCAAAGAUUCAUUUAUUAGGUUAUAGACUCAUAUUGCAUUGAGGCAUGUGAUGUUACAGUAACUAGUUAAGUUACUACAACUAUCUCUCUCCUCAUUAACUCAUUGUCACAUAAGCAAAUUUGCUGAGUUGGACACGAUGUUACUGCUGAAGUUACUCCCACUGUGGCUAGUCUUAUAACGGAUUAGAGGAGUAAAAUUUGAUUUUAUUUCUCUAACAGACGUCUAGCCGAUCCCAAUCCAUCGUAAUGGAGGAUAAAUUAUCCUCAACCGCGUAUCUUUUCGCUAAANNNNNNNNNNNNNNNNNNNNNNNNNNNNNNNNNNNNNNNNNNNNNNNNNNNNNNNNNNNNNNNNNNNNNNNNNNNNNNNNNNNNNNNNNNNNNNNNNNNNNNNNNNNNNNNNNNNNNNNNNNNNNNNNNNNNNNNNNNNNNNNNNNNNNNNNNNNNNNNNNNNNNNNNNNNNNNNNNNNNNNNNNNNNNNNNNNNNNNNNNNNNNNNNNNNNNNNNNNNNNNNNNNNNNNNNNNNNNNNNNNNNNNNNNNNNNNNNNNNNNNNNNNNNNNNNNNNNNNNNNNNNNNNNNNNNNNNNNNNNNNNNNNNNNNNNNNNNNNNNNNNNNNNNNNNNNNNNNNGCCAUCCCUCCCACCCCCCGCUGGCACCCUCCCACCACCGCGGAUGCUCCGUAGGCUCCGUCGCGGUCCUUGACCACUUGGAUUUGUGCCUCGUUGUCCCGUCGCCGGCACAGAACUGGUGGAUUUGCGGCUGCUGUACCGUCGCCGCCGGAUUUGGCACUUCCGGCCGCCGGCGACUGUGCCUUGCUAUGGAUUGGCCGGGAAACGGACCACACAGCCCCGACAAUGCCUCCGCGCCGCAUGCUGGUAUUGACUCCGCCUCUAGCCAGAUAUAUAUAGGGGAUUGGAUUGGUCCAGCCAAAUCUUAGUGGAGUAAAAAUACUCCACAAAGGUUUUACUCCGCUGGAUACUCAGCUAUUUUUAGGGGAUUGGUUAGAAAUGCCUGUAGAUGGGUUCAAGAGUUCACAUAAUCGGAUCCAUGGAGGUGGAUGCACCCUGACACAACAGUACUUGUAGUCGUCGCUAUGUGGUCUACCAAUAUAGAUGUAAUUUUUAUUAUUUCUGAUGUUCGUUGUACUGCUAUGAUUAAAGGAAUAGAUUGGAAGUUUUCUUGAAAGAAAACGACGGCUAUAACCUCGGGAAAACAAUGGACCAAACACGGGAAGAAAAGAUCCAGCAUUUGCUGGCUUUUUAUUGAUUUAGCAUAGAGCAGAUGGAAACAUGGUGUGAUCAAGUGAUCAAAUGGGUGACAGAGGCAACAGAGAUAGAAAGGGGGUCCUUGCGCCCAAAAAUUAGCUACUCAGUCAUGGUUACAGUUCCAUGGGAGCAGCCAAACACUGUCUUGAAUAUGUGGAGCCAUGAGGCAGUUUCAGGGUCAGGGCAGCAACCAAGAAGUUCACACCACCAGUAACUUUUCUUCCCGCAAAAAAACAUAUAAAAAAACAAAGUAAAAGCAAAGAGACACAUGCCAAUUGCAAAGAGAUCGGGCGUACUUUCUAGCGGGUACAUGCACUUGCAGGGUGGAUCGACCUUCUCAAUUAACUCCACCAGCCAACGACCUGGCAGCGACCGGCAUCAAUUGCUCAAUCAAUCCUGCAUGUUCAUCGCUCCCCUAUUUAUACCCUCGAAACCACACCCUUUCCUCCACACCAUCACACUCCACUAGCUUAACCACACCGCCGACACUCAUCUGAUCACCCACUAGCUAGCUAGCAGCUUAAGGAACUUCCAGCUAGCGAUCGAUGGCUCGUCUCAACAGCAAGGCUGUGGUGUCCGCCGUGGUCCUGGCGGCGGUGGUGCUAAUGAUGGCCGGCAGGGAGGCGACGGCACUGUCGUGCGGGCAGGUGGACUCCAAGCUCGCGCCGUGCGUGUCGUACGUGACGGGGAAGGCGCCCUCGAUCAGCAAGGAGUGCUGCUCCGGUGUGCAGGGGCUGAACGGCCUGGCCCGCAGCAGCCCGGACCGCAAGAUAGCGUGCAGGUGCCUCAAGAGCCUCGCCACCAGCAUCAAGUCCAUCAACAUGGACAAGGUCUCCGGCGUGCCCGGCAAGUGCGGCGUCAGCGUGCCCUUCCCCAUCAGCAUGUCCACCAACUGCAACAAGUAUGUUCUAAUCUUUCGGUCUACUCAUCCAAAUGCAUGCAUUUUCAUCUUCUCGCGUAGCCGUCUAGUCCAGAUCUUGUGCAUAUUUCCAUAUCGUGCUACUCCAUAACCGUCUGUUUUCACGUUAUAAAAAACAAACGUUUUUUUACACCAGGCCAAACAGUUACUGUAGUUUUAAUCCAGCAUCCGAGCUACUAGUACAGAAGAGAAAAGGUUCUGCCAAUACAAACAAUAUGACCCCCCAAAAAAGAGGACAAAUACUAGAACAACUCAUGAGCAAACACGUACCUGCAUAGUUUUUCUUAAGAGCUAGGAAGUGAGUAUAUAGUAACAAAACAGUGAUAUUAAGUUCAUAUUGAAGAAAAACGGUCGAUCGUGUAUUUUAGCAUGUUACAUCUAACGUGAUUUUCUCUGACAUAAUAUAUAUGUCUUAUUCUUAUGCAGUGUCAACUAGUUCAAUAUAUAACCCUUCCGACGUGCAUGCAAGGACGCGCUUGUGUGGAGCUUAAUGUCUACGUUGAUGGAGUGCUCAUACGAUACUGAGCUACUAAAUAAUAAAAUGAAGUUGCUUGCGUGUGUUAUUUCAGUACUGUGUCACUGUGUGUCUGUGUCCAUGUCUGUACCUUGCGCACACACUGUGUGUGCAUAUAUAUUUAUGCGACAUGUAUGCAUGCGUCCGUAUGCGUGAGUGAACUGUCAACUCUUUGCUGUACUCUAGUGUAGCCGAUGUGUACGUGUGAUGUGCCUGACCUACUUGUUCAGGCAAUUAAUGAAUAGUAAUUAUUUUCCUAAUUAUUGACGUGCAUGGAUGUCCAGCUAUUGCACUAUCCAGCAGUAUGAUGGAGCAUUGUGCACUAUACGGAUGUUUUGAGCCAGAAGAUGCAUGCGUGCAAUACGCGCCGUGGCCACUUUUGUGUCCCAAAUGAACGAGAUCUCCACUAGUUUGGACUUUCUGUGUCGUGAUUUUGUACUCCACAACACAAUAUAGUGCUCCAAAUUAACUACGAGACGUUUUCCUUCUGAUAGGGAAAACACUCAAACAGAAAAACACACAAGAACUUGUUAAACAGAAACACACGCAAGAAACAAAGAAUGAAAACACAUGAAAAAAUUUAAAGCAGAAUUGGGAACCCCGAACGUCCGUAUAAUACUGUGAAGUGUGAGUACAGUCGAAGACAUGACACGUCGAAUCUAGUACACAUAUGACUGGAAUAACCUAUAAACAUAUCACAGUCGUUCAGAAAAUGUAUUUCGUUGUGGAAUUAAAAAAAUGUAUUACGAUGUGAACAGUUGUAAAAAAAGUCAUAGUUUUAAAUAGCGUGCUAUCUCGGUCCUAUAACAUUUGCAGGGCGUCAUGCUAAGCCAUUCAGUAGAAUUUAGCGUGUUAUAUAUUUUUCACAAAUAUGCAGAGCUUUAGGUGGUACAACACAUGGCACGAACGCAAGAGGCGAGACAUGGUACAUGAUGCCCGAAGCAGAGAUAAAUGCGAUGCUCAGCCCAAACAGAAAAAAAACACAGUUACACACGCUGUCCUGAGAGCCCCAACCAACAACUAGACAACCAACAUCUCCAAAUCCAGAACCGAGGAUGCCGCGAAAAAAACAAGACAACGCCAUCGUGAAGAAGAAUGACGCCGAGAUGUCGUCGCCAUCCGAUUCGGAUGACCGGACCUAGGGUAUCCCCUGAUGCUCAAAAUGGGACACCGAUAACGGCCAUGGCAGCACCUCCAAGAAGGGGAAGACACCCGCGAGUGUCGCCGUUGCCAGCAUAGGAUGCAUGGAUUUUGCCCUCGCCUGAGUAUGAACAAUCCCAAGCCGUCGGAGCAUGAAUCGGAGAAGAGGAAGUCUGGCAUAGGUUGAAGAUGCGGCCAGUACAGGAAGGAGAGCUACGCCCGCCGCUGAAGGAGGCACAGGGCACCGUCGGACGUGGGAGGACCAGAGCAGGCGGAAGGAUGGACAGGUCACGAAGGUGGGUGAGGUUGGGUGGUUGGACGGAAUGAGAGACAUCGGGGCAUGAUAAUGGCUGGAGACCGAAAUGAUCCUGGAUCUGGAGGGAAGCGUGUUGGAAUAAAGAGCCACGGCCAGAGUGUGGUGGCCGCGUGAGCGCACGCAGAGUCCGUGGUUCAGGGGGUGCGUGUGCGUGCGUGAGUCAGGCUGGUGCGUGCGUGUGUGAGUGGACCCAGCUAGCGUGCGUAGACCAGGAGGUUACUGGAUCGCUAUGUAGGCGUGAUCGCUGCGGGCUGGCCACGAGCUGCAUGCGUACGUGCGCGAGGUGGCCGCGAGCUGAGCGGGCCGAUCGGGGCGCCAGGAGGGGUGGGUGCGUGUGGGUCGUGCCCAACGCAGGCCCGUCAAUAUAAGCCCCUGGUCGAUCAUUGUAACGGUGUGGUCUAGGGCAUCGAGUUCGAGCUCGAGGAAAUAUACGCCGUACGUGCAGCGGCGGGCGUUCGAGCGCCCGGAAAAACUCUGUGUCCACCCCUUCCAUCCCUUCUUCUUCCUCGGUCCGUUGCACAGCAGAGAGAGAGAGGACUAGAUAGGGUUCGGCAAGGCCACGGCAACAACAAUUGGUAUACAGAGCUUCGGUUCGGGCGAUCACCGGCGACCAUGGCCCUCGUCCCACACGGCGGCGGCGCGGGCGGAUCGGCGACGACGGCGAUGCCGAUGCUGACCGCAGACAACUACACGGUCUGGGCCAUCAAGGCGCAAGCGAUCCUCGAUGUCCACACCGUAUGGGAGGCGGUGGUGCCAGGCGACGCGGCAGUGAACGCGCGGAAGGACAAGAUGGCGCGUGCGUUGCUUCUCGGGGCGUUGCCGGAGGAUGUGCUGCUGCAGGUGUUGACGAAGCUCACCGCCAGGGAGGUAUGGGACUCCCUGAAGGUGAGGUUCGUCGGCGCCGACCGGGUCCGUGCGGCGAGGCUGGCGACGCUGCGCGGCGAAUUUGACCUCCUGAAGAUGGCGGACGGCGAGGAGCUCGCGGCGAUGGCGGCGAGGUAAGCCAAGCUCGGGGAGACGCUGGGCGACGCGGCGCUCGUCAAAGAAGCUGCUGGAUACGGUGCCGGAUCGGCUCUUCCCCGUCGUCGCCGGCAUCAAGCAGUUCCACGACGUGACGACGAUGGCGUUCGACGAGGCGCUCGGGCGACUGCGCGCGUUCGACGAGCGUGUUCGGCGCCGUGGACAAGACGGCGGCGAGCGGGCGGACAGACAGCUCCUGUACACUGCGGCGCAGUGGCGGGCACGGGAGCGGCGUCAAGGCAGAGGUCGGGGCGACGACGACGACGUGCGCAGCGUGGCGAAGAGGGGCGGCGGCAACAGGCGCGGGCGCUGCUACAAGUGCGGCGAGCGCGACCACUUCAAACGGGAUUGUCCCCAGCUCCGGAGGGCACCAGCGGCGGAGCAGGCGCUGCUGGCGAACGCCGGCGUCGAGGAUGACGGACUCCUCUAAGCCGUGGCUCAGCGGGUGAGUGUUGGAAUAAAGAGCCACGGCCAAAGUGUGGUGGGCGCGUGAGCGCGCACAGGGCGCGACGGGCGCGGGCCGGAUUGUGUCGGGUCCAUGGUUCAGGGGGUGUGUGUGCGUGCGUGAGUCAGGCUGGUGCGUGCGUGUGUGCAUGGACCCAGCUAGCGUGCAUAGACCAGGAGGUUACUGGAUCGCUAUGUAGGCGUGAUCGCUACGGGCUGGCCGCGAGCUGCAUGCGUACGUGCGCGAGGUGGCCGCGAGCUGAGCGGGCCGAUCGGGGCGCCAGGAGGGGUGGGUGCAUGUGGGUUGUGCCCAACGCAGGCCCUUCAAUAUAAGCCCCUGGUCGAUCAUUGUAACGGUGUGGUCUAGGGCAUCGAGUUCGAGCUCGAGGAAAUAUACGCCGUACGUGCGGCGGCGGGUGUUCGAGCGCCCGGAAAAACUCCUGUGUCCACCCCUUCCAUCCCUUCUUCUUCCUCGGUCUGUUGCACAGCAGGAGAGAGAGAGAGAGGACUAGCUAGGGUUCGGCAAGGCCACGGCAACAACAAAGCGCAUAUCCAGGCUACGGGGACAGGGGCAGCAAGGACGUCGGCGAGCCCAAGGAGCUGUAAGGAGACGCAGCUUCCACAGUGUGUCGAAAUCAAAGAUGCGCAGGUAUGGACGGCCAACCAAGGGCACCAACAGGGUGGGGUGCGAAGAGGCCGAGGUGCAUGUGAGCUAAAGGAGCCGGAAAGAGUGAAGCUCCCGGGGAGAGCAGAAGCCGGACCCGCGCUAGCCAGCCAUGAUCGCAGGAGCGAACGCAUGUCCAUGGCCGUCGGGCUUGCAGUCACCCCUGUGGAGGGGUGAUGGAGAGCUCGCGCGAAGCCAACCUCCUGGACGGCAUGCUGCAAGAAGCAGCCGUCGUCAGGCACAACCAAAUGCCUUCAUGGUUGCCUCUCAGGAAGUCUGACCUGAAUUUCGAACUGGGCGGGGGGAGGGUAGCAGCGCGGAGGACGCGCCGAGCAACCAUGACAGGUUGGCCGAAGAACGCCACAACCGGUCGGGAGGGGAGCUUCCAAAUCGCACAGGGUAGGAGGGCUGGGGCAGAGUAGGCACCGCAGUGCGCCAGGGUUGGAGCCGCCCCGCCACCACCAUCCCAGGGUACAUCGCGGCUUCGCUGGUAGGCCCUCUGGCAACAACGAUGUAGAGGGGCGGCAGAGGGCUAGCUUGUAGCGGUGGUUAGGGCUUCCCCGUGUCACGGGUCACGGAUGGUGCAGGGGGAUGGGGUAUCGAACGUCAUGACCCGGUUUAUUAAGGCCAAAUUCCAUCCGAUGGGCACCACACUUAUUUUUGAAGAAAGACACCAAAAUGACAUCUUAGAUCUGAUAGUAAUCAAGGAAAACAAGUUGUAUGAGGGGACGACAACUGGAGGCAGAAUGACUAGUAAAAAAUAAAUUAUAUUGAAAAUCAUACUAGCUUUGUUCUUCCUCGGAUUGAUUGCCACCCACCAGAGAUCGAAAAUCAAACUGAAGCAACGGUAAAGGAAAUAGGACACCUGCAAACGCCCUCGCCAUACUAGGCUUUAAAGACCGCAAUAGUCACUCGUCACACGAAACAGGAUCAGGAAGUUGUUGAAGAAACAUAAGUUGGCGCAUCACGCACCACAUUGCAGGCUUGUAAUCAUCACCACCGGUCCAGAGAGUUGGAGAAACCAGAACAUGCCGCGGAAUAAAAUGAAAGAAGAUAUCAAAGUCGUGGCAUCAAUAGCAAGCCAAUUUCCCUCCUUGAUAGUCACACUAACUGCCACGAUCGGAUGCAUCACAGUGAUCCCAGAACCUCCGAGGCGAAGGACGAGUAUAGCCGUCCUCAGCGCAGUAAUAACAAUCAUAUCUGGAAGCGCUGAAACAACAAGCAUGACGACAAGGAGGUCAACGCCGAGUUCGAAGGCGAGCUCCAGUGCGGUCCCGGCCCAAAGAACCGCCAGUGGCCAGCUAAGAAGAAGCAAGGUGGUCUUGACACUAUCAAGACCAUGGACAAGCCAUGCGACUACCACUCGUGUUUUUAUGUCCAUUUUGCAUCAUGUUUUUAUGUUGAUAUUUAUUGCAUUAUGGACUAUUAUUUCACGUUAUGAUACAAUUCUUAUGCUUUUCUCUCUUAUUUUGCAAGUCUCGCAUGAAGAGGGAGAUUGCCGGGAGCUGGAAUUCUGGACCUGAAAGGGCUAUAUCGGAAGCAGCUUUUCUGAACAUCUCCAAAUGAGCUGAAAAUUUAUGAAGUAUUAUUUUGGAAUAUAUUAAAAUUAUUGGCGAAAGAAAUAUCAGAAGGGGACCCACCAGGAGGCAAUAAGCCUAGGGGCGCCCCCUGGGCUUGUCGUGCCCUAGGCAGGCAUCCGGGGCCCAUCUUAUCCUAUAUGGUGCCAUUUGACCUAGAAAAAUCAGAAGAAGGGUUUCGGGACGAAGCGCUGUCGUCUCGAGGUGGAACCUGGGCAGGAGCACUUUUGCUCUCCGGCGAAGAGAUUCCGUCGGGGAAACUUCCCCCUGGGAGGGGAAAUCGAAGCCAUCGUCAUCACCAACGAUCCUUGUUCGCACACAAACACGUCACCAUGUACCCUCGACGCUAGGGGUGAUGCACCGCAACUUACCUUGAAGGAGACUCGGCCGGAAGCGCGGUACGCAAGCAAUCCGACGGGCGCUUUUGUAGACCCGAAACCCCACACGCCCGAGAGGGACCCCAUCUGGGGGCGCGACAGCUAUGGGCUGCCCUAUGUCGACCUGACCGCCCAUAGAUCCUCGUGGAUAUGCAGCCCUCCAUUGCUGAAGAACGAUGAAGAACGAGAAGAAAGAUACAGGGGUGGGGGAUAGAUGAACACAAAAAAGUGGUAGAUGUGUUUGUUUGAUUGUGUGGUGUUUAAUCGGCCAUCACCUCUCAUCUAUUUAUGAGGCGGCUGGACUUCCCGUACAAGAAAAGGACUCCAAAUCUCGUUCAAAUCCUUCCAAAAUUAGCUGAACUCGGAUUAGGUAUGUAUGAGACAGCAGUUCGAUAUUUUUUGUUUCACAUGCCAAAUACGACCUCGGAUGAAGAUGCGCCGAAAAGCAAAUUUAACCAUUUCGACGAGCGAACAACGUGUUGAACGUUUUUCGAUUCGAAGCCAUUUUGAGGGCCGAAUGGCUCGCGUGACCCAUCAGACAUCGUGUUUAAUGCCACGGGCCAGUUUUUACUCAUGAUAGUGAAGGAAAUAUGCACUAGAAGCAAUAAUAAAGUUGUUAUUUAUAUUUCCUUAUAUCAUGAUAAAUGUUUAUUAUUCAUGCUAGAAUUGUAUUAACUGGAAACUUAGUACAUGUCUGAAUACAUAGACAAACAGAGUGUCCCUAGUAUGCCUCUACUUGACUAGCUUGUUAAUCAAAGAUGGUUAAGUUUCCUAGCCAUAGACAUGUGUUGUCAUUUGAUGAACGGGAUCACAUCAUUAGGAGAAUGAUGUGAUGGACAAGACCCAUCCGUUAGCUUAGCAUUAUGAUCGUUAAGUUUUAUUGCUAUUGCUUUUUUCAUGACUUAUACAUAUUCCUCUGACUAUGUGAUUAUGCAACUCCCGAAUACUAGAGGAACACCUUGUGUGCUAUCAAACGUCACAACGUAACUGGGUGAUUAUAAAGAUGCUCUACAGAUGUCUCUGAAGGUGUUUGUUGGGUUGGCAUAGAUCAAGAUUAGGAUUUGUCACUCCGUGUAUCGAAGAGGUAUCUCUGGGCCCUCUCGGUAAUGCACAUCAUAAUAAGCCUUGCAAGCAAUGUGACUAAUGAGUUAGUUACGGGAUGAUGUAUUAUGGAACGAGUAAAGAGACUUGUCGGUAACGAGAUUGAACUAGGUAUGAAGAUAUCGACGAUCGAAUCUCGGGCAAGUAACAUACCGAUGACAAAGGGAAUAACGUAUGUUGUCAUAACGGUUCGACCGAUAAAGAUCUUCGUAGAAUAUGUAGGAGCCAAUAUGGGCAUCCAGGUUCCGCUAUUGGUUAUUGACCAGAGAGGUGUCUCGGUCAUGUCUACAUAGUUCUCGAACCCGUAGGGUCCGCACGCUUAACGUUCGUUGACGAUAUAGUAUUAUAUGAGUUAUGUAUGUUGGUGACCGAAUGUUGUUCGGAGUCCCAGAUGAGAUCGCGGACAUGACGAGGUGCUCCGGAAUGGUCCGGAGGUAAAGAUUGAUAUAUAGGAUGAUAUGGUUCGGCCAAGGGGUGAAGCCCACGAGGCUUUAGGUCGGUGCGAAAGGAGUUUUGCGGAGGCCAGGGGGCCAAACGCCGGAGACCCUGGCCUCUGGCCCUGGGCCAGAUGCCAAGGCCCAUGGCGUCUGGGCCAGACACCAAGGAUUGUGGCGUUUGGUCUUGGGGUCCGAUUGGGACUCUUGCCUUUCGGGCAAAACUGACUUUGAGGAGGCUUUUGCUCCAAGUUUCGACCCCAGGGCUCAACAUAUAAAUAGAGGGGCAGGGCUAGCACCAAAGACACAUGAAGAAACACCAAGACGUGUGCCGGCAACCUUGUCCCCUCUAGUUUAUCCUCCGUCAUAGUUUUCGUAGUGCUUAGGCGAAGCCCUGCGGAGAUUGUUCUUCACCAGCACCGUCACCACGCCGUCGUUCUGCCGGAACUCAUCUACUACUUCGCCCCUCUUGCUGGUUCACGAAGGCGAGGAUGUCAUCGAGCUGAACGUGUGCUGAACGCGGAGGUGCCAUACAUUCGAUACUUGAUCGGGACGGAUCGUGAAGGUGUACGACUACAUCAACCGCGUUGAUAAACGCUGCCGCUUUCGGUCUACGAGGGUACGUAGACACACUCUUCCCUCUCGUUGCUAUGCAUCUCCUAGAUAGAUCUUGCAUGAUCGUAGGAUUUUUUUUGAAAUACCGCAUUCCCCAACAGUGGCAUCCGAGCCAGGUCUAUGCGUAGAUGUUAUAUGCACAAGUAGAACACAUGUGAGUUGUGGGCGAUAAUAGUCAUACUGCUUACCAGCAUGUCAUACUUUGAUUCGGCAGUAUUGUUGGAUGAAGCAGCCCGGACCGACAUUACGCGUACGCUUACGCGAGACUGGUUCUACCGACGUGCUUCGCACACAGGUCGCUGGCUGGUGUCAGUUUCUCCAACUUUAGUUGAAUCGAGUGUGGCUACGCCUGGUCCUUGUUGGAGGUUAAAACAUCACAUACUUGACGAAAAAUCGUUGUGGUUUUGAUGCGUAGGUAAGAACGAUUCUUGCUCAGCCCAUAGCAGCCACGUAAAACUUGCAACAACAAAGUAGAGGACGUCUAACUUGUUUUUGUAGGGCAUGUUAUGAUGUGAUAUGGUCAAGACAUGAUGCUAAAUUUUAUUGUAUGAUAUGAUCAUGUUCUGUAACGGAGUUAUCGGCAACUGGCAGGAGCCAUAUGGUUGUCGCUUUAUUGUAUGCAAUGCAAUCGCCCUGUAAUUGUUUUUACUUUAUCACUAAGCGGUAGCGAUAGUUGUAGAAUCAAUAGUUGGCGAGACGACAACGAUGCUUCGAUGGAGAUCAAGGUGUCAAGCCGGUGGCGAUGGUGAUCAUGACGGUGCUUUGGAGAUGGAGAUCAAAGGCACAAGAUGAUGAUGGCCAUAUCAUAUCACUUAUAUUGAUUGCAUGUGAUGUUUAUCCUUUAUGCAUCUUAUUUUGCUUAGUACGACGGUAGCAUUAUAAGAUGAUCCCUCACUAAAUUUCAAGGUAUAAGUGUUCUCCCUGAGUAUGCACUGUUGCGACAGUUCUUCGUGCUGAGACGCCACGUGAUGAUCGGGUGUGAUAAGCUCUACGUUCACAUACAACGGGUGCAAGCCAGUUUUGCACACGCAGAAUACUCGGGUUAAACUUGACGAACCUAGCAUAUGCAGAUAUGGCCUCGGAACACUGAGACCGAAAGGUCGAGCGUGAAUCAUAUGUUGGAAAUAUGCCCUAGAGGCAAUAAUAAAAUGGUUAUUAUUAUAUUUCCUUGUUCAUGAUAAUUGUCUAUUGUUCAUGCUAUAAUUGUGUUAUUCGGAAAUCGUAAUACAUGUGUGAAUACAUAGACCACAACAUGUCCCAAGUGAGCCUCUAGUUGACUAGCUCGUUGAUCAAAAGAUAGUCAUGGUUUCCUGACUAUGGACAUUGGAUGUCAUUGAUAACGGGAUCAUAUCAUUAGGAGAAUGAUGUGAUGGACAAGACCCAAUCCUAAGCAUAGCACAAAGAUCGUGUAGUUCGUUUGCUAGAGCUUUUCCAAUGUCAAGUAUCAUUUCCUUAGACCAUGAGAUCGUGUAACUCCCGGAUGCCGUAGGAGUGCUUUGGAUGUACCAAACGUCACAACGUAACUGGGUGACUAUAAAGGUACACUACAGGUAUCUCUGAAAGUGUCUGUUGGGUUGACACGGAUCGAGACUGGGAUUUGUCACUCCGUAUGACGAAGAGGUAUCUCUGGGCCCACUCGGUAAUGCAUCAUCAUAAUGAGCUCAAUGUGACCAAGUGUUUGGUCACGGGAUCAUGCAUUACGGUACGAGUAAAGUGACUUGCCGGUGACGAGAUUGAACAAGGUAUUGGGAUACCGACGAUCGAAUCUCGGGCAAGUAACGUACCGCUUGACAAAGGGAAUUGUAUACGGGAUUGAUUGAAUCCUCGACAUUGUGGUUCAUCCGAUGAGAUCAUCGAGGAACAUGUGGGAGCCAACAUGGGUAUCCAGAUCCCGCUGUUGGUUAUUGACCGGAGAGUCGUCUCGGUCAUGUCUGCAUGUCUCCCGAACCCGUAGGGUCUACACAGUUAAGGUUCGGUGACGCUAGGGUUGUAGAGAUAUUAGUAUGCGGUAACCCGAAAGUUGUUCGGAGUCCCGGAUGAGAUCCCGGACGUCACGAGGAGUUCCGGAAUGGUCCGGAGGUGAAGAAUUAUAUAUAGGAAGUCCAGUUUCGGCCACCGGGAAAGUUUCGGGGGUUACCGGUAUUGUACCGGGACCACCGGAAGGGUCCCGGGGGUCCACCGGGUGGGGCCACCUAUCCCGGAGGGCCCCAUGGGCUGAAGUGGGAGGGGAACCAGCCCCUGGUGGGCUGGUGCGCCCCCGUUGGGCCUCCCCCUGCGCCUAGGGUUGGGAACCCUAGGGGUGGGGGCGCCCCCACUUGGCUUGGGGGGGAAGCCACCUCUUGGCCGCCGCCCCCCUUGGAGAUUGCAUCUCCCAGGGCCGGCGCCCCCCAGGGGCCCUAUAUAUAGUGGGGGGAGGGAGGGCAGCCGCACCACAGCCCCUGGCGCCUCCCUCUCCCUCCCGUGACACCUCUCCCUCUCGCUGAGCUUGGCGAAGCCCUGCCGAGAUCCCCGCUACUUCCACCACCACGCCGUCGUGCUGCUGGAUCUCCAUCAACCUCUCCUUCCCCCUUGCUGGAUCAAGAAGGAGGAGACGUUGCUGCUCCGUACGUGUGUUGAACGCGGAGGUGCCGUCCGUUCGGCGCUCGGUCAUCGGUGAUUUGGAUCACGACGAGUACGACUCCAUCAACCCCGUUCACUUGAACGCUUCCGCUCGCGAUCUACAAGGGUAUGUAGAUGCACUCCUCUCUCUCGUUGCUAGAUGACUCCAUAGAUUGAUCUUGGUGAUGCGUAGCAAAUUUUAAAUUUCUGCUACGAUCCCCAACAGUGGUAUCAGAGCCAGGCCUAUGCGUAGUUUCUAUGCACGAGUAGAACACAAACUUGUUGUGGGCGUUGAUGUUGUCAAUUUUUCUUGCGACUACUAGUCUUAUCUUGUUUCGGCGGCAUUGUGGGAUGAAGCGUCCCGGACCGACCUUACACGUACGCUUACGUGAGACAGGUUCCACCGACUGACAUGCACUAGUUGCAUAAGGUGGCUAGAGGGUGUCUGUCUCUCCCACUUUACUUGGAACGGAUUCGAUGAAAAGGGUCCUUAUGAAGGGUAAAUAGAAAUUGGCAUAUCACUUUGUGGUUUUACAUAGGUAAGAAACGUUCUUGCUAGAAACCUAUAGAAGCCACGUAAAAACAUGCAACAACAAUUAGAGGACGUCUAACUUGUUUUUGCAGCAUGUGCCUUGUGAUGUGAUAUGGCCAAAAGGAUGUGAUGAAUGAGAUAUAUGUGAUGUAUGAGAUUGAUCAUGUUCUUGUAAUUGGAAUCACGACUUGCAUGUCGAUGAGUAUGACAACCGGCAGGAGCCAUAGGAGUUGUCUUUAUUUUUUGUAUGACCUGCGAGUCAUUGAAUAACGCCAUGUAAAUUACUUUACUUUAUUGCUAAACAUGUUAGCCAUAUAAGUAGAAGUAAUCAUUGGCGUGACAACUUCAUGAAGACACGAUGAUGGAGAUCAUGAUGAUGGAGAUCAUGGUGUCAUGCCGGUGACGAAGAUGAUCAUGGCGCCCCGAAGAUGGAGAUCAAAAGGAGCAAAAUGAUAUUGGCCAUAUCAUGUCACUAUUUGAUUGCAUGUGAUGUUUAUCAUGUUUUACAUCUUAUUUGCUUAGAAUGACGGUAGCUUAAAUAAGAUGAUCCCUCGCAAUAAUUUCAAGAAAGUGUUCCCCCUAACUAUGCACCCGUUGCGAAGGUUCGUUGUUUCGAAGCACCACGUGAUGAUCGGGUGUGAUAGAUUCUAACGUUCGAAUACAAUGGGUGUAAGCCAGAUUUACACACGCAAUACACUUAGGUUGACUUGACGAGCCUAGCAUGUACAGACAUGGCCUCGGAACACGGAAGACCGAAAGGUCGAGCAUGAGUCGUAUAGAAGAUACGAUCAACAUGAAGAUGUUCACCCAUGUUGACUAGUCCGUCUCACGUGAUGAUCGGACACGGCCUAGUUGACUCGGAUCAUGUUUCACUUAGAUGACUGGAGGGAUGUCUAUCUGAGUGGGAGUUCAUUGAAUAAUUUGAUUAGAUGAACUUAAUUAUCAUGAACUUAGUCUAAAAUCUUUACAAUAUGUCUUGUAGAUCAAAUGGCCCACGUUGCCCUCAACUUCAACGCGUUCCUAGAGAAAACCAAGCUGAAAGAUGAUGGCAGCAACUAUACGGACUGGGUCCGGAAUCUGAGGAUCAUCCUCAUAGCUGCCAAGAAAGAUUAUGUCCUAGAAGCACCGCUAGGUGAAGCACCCAUCCCAAAGAACCAAGACGUUAUGAACGCUUGGCAGUCACGUGCUGAUGAUUACUCCCUCGUUCAGUGCGGCAUGCUUUACAGCUUAGAACCGGGGCUCCAAAAGCGUUUUGAGCAACACGGAGCAUAUGAGAUGUUCGAAGAGCUGAAAAUGGUUUUCCAAGCUCAUGCCCGGGUCGAGAGAUAUGAAGUCUCCGACAAGUUCUUCAGUUGUAAGAUGGAGGAAAACAGUUCUGUCAGUGAGCACAUACUCAAAAUGUCUGGGUUGCACAACCGCUUGACUCAGCUGGGAGUUAAUCUCCCGGAUGACGCGGUCAUUGACAGAAUCCUUCAGUCGCUUCCACCGAGCUACAAGAGCUUUGUGAUGAACUUCAAUAUGCAGGGGAUGGAAAAGACCAUUCCUGAGGUAUAUUCAAUGCUGAAAUCAGCGGAGGUGGAGAUCAAAAAGGAACAUCAAGUGUUGAUGGUGAAUAAAACCACUAAGUUCAAGAAAGGCAAGGGUAAGAAGAACUUCAAGAAGGAUGGCAAGGGAGUUGCCGCGCCCGGUAAGCCAGUUGCCGGGAAGAAGCCAAAGAAUGGACCCAAGCCUGAGACUGAGUGCUUUUAUUGCAAGGGAAGUGGUCACUGGAAGCGGAACUGCCCCAAAUACUUAGCGGACAAGAAGGCCGGCAACACCAAAGGUAUAUGUGAUAUACAUGUAAUUGAUGUGUACCUUACCAGUACUCGUAGUAGCUCCUGGGUAUUUGAUACCGGUGCGGUUGCUCAUAUUUGUAACUCAAAACAGGAGCUGCGGAAUAAGCGGAGAUUGGCGAAGCACGAGGUGACGAUGCGCGUCGGGAAUGGUUCCAAGGUCGAUGUGAUCGCCGUCGGCACGCUACCUCUACAUUUACCUACGGGAUUCGUUUUAAACCUCAAUAAUUGUUAUUUAGUGCCAGCUUUGAGCAUGAACAUUGUAUCAGGAUCUCGUUUAAUUCGAGAUGGCUACUCAUUUAAAUCCGAGAAUAAUGGUUGUUCUAUUUAUAUGAGAGAUAUGUUUUAUGGUCAUGUCCCGCUGGUUAAUGGUUUAUUCUUAAUGAAUCUCAAACGUGAUGUUACACAUAUUCAUAGUGUGAAUACCAAAAGAUGUAAAGUUGAUAACGAUAGUCCCACAUACUUGUGGCACUGCCGCCUUGGUCACAUUGGUGUCAAGCGCAUGAAGAAGCUCCAUGCUGAUGGACUUUUAGAGUCUCUCGAUUAUGAAUCAUUUGACACAUGCGAACCAUGCCUCAUGGGCAAAAUGACCAAGACUCCGUUCUCCGGAACAAUGGAGCGAGCAACCAACUUAUUAGAAAUCAUACAUACUGAUGUGUGCGGUCCAAUGAGUGUUGAGGCUCGCGGAGGCUAUCGUUAUGUUCUCACUCUCACUGAUGACUUGAGUAGAUAUGGGUAUGUCUACCUAAUGAAACACAAGUCUGAGACCUUUGAAAAGUUCAAGGAAUUUCAGAGUGAGGUUGAGAAUCAACGUGACAGGAAAAUAAAGUUCCUACGAUCAGAUCGUGGAGGGGAAUAUUGAAGUCACGAAUUUGGCACACACUUAAGGAAAUGUGGAAUAGUUUCACAACUCACGCCGCCUGGAACACCUCAGCGAAAUGGUGUGUCCGAACGUCGUAAUCGCACUCUAUUGGAUAUGGUGCGAUCUAUGAUGUCUCUUACCGAUCUACCGCUCUCAUUUUGGGGCUAUGCUUUAGAGACUGCCGCAUUCACAUUAAAUAGGGCUCCGUCGAAAUCCGUUGAGACGACACCGUAUGAAUUAUGGUUUGGGAAGAAACCUAAGCUAUCGUUUCUGAAAGUUUGGGGAUGCGUAUGCUUAUGUCAAGAAACUUCAACCUGAAAAGCUCGAACCCAAGUCGGAAAAAUGCGUCUUCAUAGGAUACCCUAAGGAAACCAUUGGGUAUACCUUCUACCUCAGAUCCGAAGGCAAGAUCUUUGUUGCCAAGAACGGGUCCUUUCUGGAGAAAGAGUUUCUCUCGAAAGAAGUGAGUGGGAGGAAAGUGGAACUUGAUGAGGUGAUAGUCACCCCUUCCGAACCGGAAAGUAGCGCAACGCGGGAAGAUGUUCCUGUGGUGCCUGCACCGACUGGGGAGGAAGUUAAUGAUGAUGAUCAUGAAGCUUCAGAUCAAGUUACUGCUGAACUUUGUAGGUCCACAAGGACACGUUCCGCACCAGAUUGGUACGGCAACCCUGUCAUGGAAAUCAUGUUGUUAGACAACGGUGAACCUUCGAACUAUGAAGAAGCGAUGGCGGGCCCGGAUUCCAACAAAUGGCUUGAAGCCAUGCAAUCCGAGAUAGGAUCCAUGUAUGAAAACGAAGUAUGGACUUUGACUGACUUGCCUGAUGAUCGGCGAGCCAUAGAAAAUAAAUGGAUCUUUAAGAAGAAGACAGACGCGGAUGGUAAUGUGACCAUCUAUAAGGCUCGACUUGUCACUAAGGGUUAUCGACAAGUUCAAGGGGUUGACUACGAUGAGACUUUCUCACCCGUAGCAAAGCUGAAGUCCGUCCGAAUCAUGUUAGCAAUUUCCGCAUUCUAUGAUUAUGAGAUAUGGCAAAUGGACGUCAAAACGGCAUUCCUUAACGGCUUUCUUAAGGAAGAAUUGUAUAUGAUGCAGCCGGAAGGUUUUGUCGAUCCUAAGAAUGCUAACAAGGUAUGCAAGCUCCAGCGCUCCAUCUAUGGGCUGGUGCAAGCAUCUCGGAGUUGCAACAUUCGAUUUGAUGAGAUGAUCAAAGCGUUUGGGUUUACACAGACUUAUGGAGAAGCCUGUGUUUACAAGAAAGUGAGUGGGAGCUCUGUAGCAUUUCUCUUAUUAUAUGUGGAUGACAUACUAUUGAUGGGAAAUGAUAUAGAAUUCUUGGAAAGUAUAAAGGCCUAUUUGAAUAAGUGUUUUUCAAUGAAGGACCUUGGAGAAGCUGCUUAUAUAUUAGGCAUCAAGAUCUAUAGAGAUAGAUCAAGACGCCUCAUUGGUCUUUCACAGAGUACGUACCUUGACAAGAUAUUAAAGAAGUUCAAUAUGGAUCAGUCCAAGAAGGGGUUCUUGCCUGUAUUGCAAGGUGUGCAAUUGAGCACGGCUCAAUGCCCGACCACGGCAGAAGAUAGAGAAAAGAUGAGUGUCAUCCCCUAUGCCUCGGCCAUAGGGUCUAUUAUGUAUGCCAUGCUGUGUACCAGACCUGAUGUAAACCUUGCUGUAAGUUUGGUAGGAAGGUACCAAAGUAAUCCCGGCAUGGAACACUAGACAGCGGUCAAGAAUAUCCUGAAGUACCUGAAGAGGACUAAGGAUAUGUUUCUCGUUUAUGGAGGUGACGAAGAGCUCGUCGUAAAGGGUUACGUCGAUGCUAGCUUCGACACAGAUCUGGAUGACUCUAAGUCACAAACCGGAUACGUGUAUAUUUUGAAUGGAGGGGCAGUAAGCUAGCGCAGUUGCAAGCAAAGCGUCGUGGCGGGAUCUACAUGUGAAGCGGAGUACAUGGCGGCCUCAGAGGCAGCGCAAGAAGCAAUCUGGAUGGAGUUCAUUACCGACCUAGGGGUGAUUCCCAAUGCGUCGGGCCCGAUGACUCUCUUCUAUGACAACACUGGAGCUAUUGCCCUUGCCAAGGAGCCCAGGUUUCACAGGAAGACCAGGCAUAUCAAGCGUCGCUUCAACUCCAUUCGUGAAAGUGUUCAAAAUGGAGACAUAGAUAUUUGUAAAGUAAAUACGGACCUGAAUGUAGCAGAUCCGUUGACUAAACCUCUCCCUAGAGCAAAACAUGAUCAACACCAGAACUCUAUGGGUGUUCGAUUCAUCACAAUGUAACUAGAUUAUUGACUCUAAUGCAAGUGGGAGACUGUUGGAAAUAUGCCCUAGAGGCAAUAAUAAAAUGGUUAUUAUUAUAUUUCCUUGUUCAUGAUAAUUGUCUAUUGUUCAUGCUAUAAUUGUGUUAUCCGGAAAUCGUAAUACAUGUGUGAAUACAUAGACCACAACAUGUCCCUAGUGAGCCUCUAGUUGACUAGCUCGUUGAUCAAAAGAUAGUCAUGGUUUCCUGACUAUGGACAUUGGAUGUCAUUGAUAACGGGAUCACAUCAUUAGGAGAAUGAUGUGAUGGACAAGACCCAAUCCUAAGCAUAGCACAAAGAUCGUGUAGUUCGUUUGCUAGAGCUUUUCCAAUGUCAAGUAUCAUUUCCUUAGACCAUGAGAUCGUGUAACUCCCGGAUGCCAUAGGAGUGCUUUGGGUGUACCAAACGUCACAACGUAACUGGGUGACUAUAAAGGUACACUAUAGGUAUCUCUGAAAGUGUCUGUUGGGUUGACACGGAUCGAGAUUGGGAUUUGUCACUCCGUAUGACGGAGAGGUAUCUCUGGGCCCACUCGGUAAUGCAUCAUCAUAAUGAGCUCAAUGUGACUAAGGGGUUAGCCACGGGAUCAUGCGUUACGGUAAGAAUAAAGUGACUUGCCGGUAACGAGAUUGAACAAGGUAUUGGGAUACCGACGAUCGAAUCUCGGGCAAGUAACGUACCGCUUGACAAAGGGAAUUGUAUACGGGAUUGAUUGAAUCCUCGACAUCGUGGUUCAUCCGAUGAGAUCGAGGAACAUGUGGGAGCCAACAUGGGUAUCCAGAUCCCGCUGUUGGUUAUUGACCGGAGAGUCGUCUCGGUCAUGUCUGCAUGUCUCCCGAACCCGUAGGGUCUACACACUUAAGGUUCGGUGACGCUAGGGUUGUAGAGAUAUUAGUAUGCGGUAACCCGAAAGUUGGUCGGAGUCCCGGAUGAGAUCCCGGACAUCACGAGGAGUUCCGGAAUGGUUUGUAGGUGAAGAAUUAUAUAUAGGAAGUCCAGUUUCGGCCACCGGGAAAGUUUUGGGGGUUACCGGUAUUGUAUCGGGACCACCGGAAGGGUCCCGGGGGUCCACCGGGUGGGGCCACCUAUCCCGGAGGUCCCCAUGGGCUGAAGUGGGAGGGGAACCAGCCCCUGGUGGGCUGGUGCGCCCCCUCUUGGGCCUCCCCCCGCGCCUAGGGUUGGGAACCCUAGGGGUGGGGGCGCCCCCCACUAGGCUUGGGGGGAAGCCACCCCUUGGCCGCCGCCCCCCUUGGAGAUUGCAUCUCCCAGGGCCGGUGCCCCCCAGGGGCCCUAUAUAUAGUGGGGGGAGGGAGGGCAGCCACACCACAGCCCCUGGCGCCUCCCUCUCCCUCCCGUGACACCUCUCCCUCUCGCUGAGCUUGGCGAAGCCCUGCCGAGAUCCCCGCUACUUCCACCACCACGCCGUCGUGCUGCUGGAUCUCAAUCAACCUCUCCUUCCCCCUUGCUGGAUCAAGAAGGAGGAGACGUCGCUGCUCCGUACGUGUGUUGAACGCAGAGGUGCCGUCCGUUCGACGCUCGGUCAUCGGUGAUUUGGAUCACGACGAGUACGACUCCAUCAACCCCGUUCACUUGAACGCUUCAGCUCGCGAUCUACAAGGGUAUGUAGAUGCACUCCUCUCUCUCGUUGCUAGAUGACUCCAUAGAUUGAUCUUGGUGAUGCGUAGAAAAUUUUAAAUUUCUGCUACGAUCCCCAACAUCAUAUAGUAGAUAUGAUCAACAUAGUGAUGUUCACCAUUGAAAGCUACUCCAUCUCACGUGAUGAUCGAACAUGGUUUAGUUGAUAUGGAUCACGUGAUCAUUUAGAUGACUAGAGUGAUGUCUAUCUAAGUGGGAGUUCUUAAGUAAUAUGAUUAAAUUGAAAUUUAAUUUAUCAUGAACUUAGUCUUGAUAGUAUUUGCAAAUUAUGUUGUAGAUCAAUAGCUCGCGAUGUAGCUCCCCGUUUAUUUUUUUCUAUGUUCCUAGAGAAAAAUAAUUUGAAAGAUGAUAGUAGUAAUGAUGCAGACUUGGUUCGUGAUCUGAGGAUUAUCCUCAUUGCUGCACAAAGAAGAAUUAUGUUCUUGAUGCACCGCUAGGUGACAGGCCGAUUGCAGGAGCAGAUGCAGACAUUAUGAAUGUUUGGCAAGCUCGAUAUGAUGACUACUUGAUAGUUUAGUGCACCAUGCUUUACGGCUUAGAAUCGGGGCUUCAAAGACGUUUUGAACACCACGGAGCAUAUGAGAUGUUCCAAGAGUUGAAAUUAGUAUUUCAGACUCAUGCCCAUGUCGAAAGGUAUGAGACCUUUGACAAGUACUUUGCCUACAAGAUGGAGGAGAAUAGCUCAACCAGUGAGCAUGUGCUCAGAUUGUCUGGGUACUCCAAUUGCUUGAAUCAAGUGGGAGUUAAUCUUCCAGAUAAGAUAGUAAUUGACAAAGUUCUCUAGUCACUAUCUCCAAGUUACUAGAACUUCGUGAUGAACUAUAAUAUGUAAGGGAUGACGAAAGUAAUUCCCAAGCUCUUCGCGAGCUGAAAUCAACGAAGGUAGAAAUCAAGAAAGAGCAUCAAGUGUUGAUGGUUAACAAGACCACUAGUUUCAAGAAAAGUGCAAAGGGAUAGAAGGGGAACUUCAAGAAGAAUGGCAAGCAAGUUGCUACUCAUGUGAAGAAGCCCAAGUCUGGACCUAAGCCUGAGACUGAGUGCUUCUACUGCAAUGGAAAUGGUCACUGGAAGUGGAACUGCCCUAGAUACUUGGCGGAUAAGAAGGAUGGCAAAGUGAACAAUGGUAUAUUUGAUAUACAUGUUAUUGACGUGUACUUUACUAGUGUUUAUAGCAAACCCCUCAGUAUUUGAUGCUGGUUCAGUUGCUAAGAUUAGUAACUCGAAACGGGAAUUACAGAAUGAAUAGAGACUAGUUAAGGGUGAAGUGACGAUGUGUGUUGGAAAUGGUUCCAAGAUUGAUAUGAUCAUCAUCGCACACUCCCUAUACUUUCGGGAUUAGGGUUGAACCUAAAUAAAUGUUAUUUGGUGUUUGCGUUGAGCAUGAAUAUGAUUUGAUCAUGUUUAUUGCAAUACGAUUAUUCAUUUAAAGUCAGAGAAUAAUUGUUGUUCUGUUUACAUGAAUGAAACCUUCGAUGGUCAUACAUCCAAUGAAAAUAGUUUGUUGGAUCUCGACCAUAGUGAUACACAUAUUCAUAAUAUUAGAGCCAAAAGAUACAAAGUUAAUAAUGAUAGUGCAACUUAUUUGUGGCACUGCCGUUUAGGUCUUAUUGGUGUAAAGCGCAUGAAGAAACUCCAUGCUGAUGGGCUUUUGGAAUCACUUGAUUAUGGAUCAUUUGAUGCUUGCAAACCAUGCCUCAUGGGCAAGAUGACUAAGGCUCCAUUCUCUGGAACAAUGGAGCGAGCAACUGAAUUGUUGAAAAUAAUACAUAAUGAUGUAUGCGGUCCGAUAAGUGUUGAGGCUCGCGGCGGGUAUCGUUAAUGUCUAACCUUCACAGAUGAUUUGAGCAGAUAUGGGUAUAUCUACUUGAUGAAACACAAGUCUAAAACAUUUCAAAAGUUCAAAGAAUUUCAGAGUAAAGUGGAGAAUCAUCGUAACAAGAAAAUAAAGUUUUCUGCGAUUUGAUCGCACAGACGAAUAUUUGAGUUACGAGUUUGGCCUUCAAUUAAAACAAUGUGCAAUAGUUUCACAAACUCAUGCCACCCAGAACACCACAGCGUAAUGGUGUGUCCGAACGUCAUAACCGUACUUUAUUGGAUAUAGUGCAAUCUAUGAUGUCUCUUACCAAUUUACCACUAUCAUUUUUGGGGUUAUGCAUUAGAGACAGCUACAUUCACGUUAAAUAGGGCACCAUCUAAAUCCGUUGAGAUGACACCGUAUGAACUAUGGUCUGGCAAGAAACCUAAGCUGUCAUUUCUUAAAGUUUGGGGUUGCGAUGCUUAUGUGAAAAAGUUUCAACCUGAUAAGCUCGAACCCAAAUCGGAGAAAUGCGUCUUCAUAGGAUACCCAAAGGAAACUGUUGGGUACACCUUCUAUCAUAGAUCCGAAGGCAAGAUAUUCAUUGCUAAGAAUGGAUCCUUUCUAUAGAAGGAGUUUCUCUCGAAAGAAGUGAGUGGGAGGAAAGUAGAACUUGAUGAGGUAAUUGUACCUUCUCCCGAAUUGGAAAGCAGUUCAUCACAGAAAUCAGUUCCAGUGAGUCCUACACCAAUUAAUGAGGAAGCUAAUGAUGAUGAUCAUGAAACUUCAGAUCAAGUUAUAUCGAACCUCGUAGGUCAACCAGAGUAUGGUCCACACCAGAGUGGUACGGUAAUCCUGUUCUGGAAGUCAUGUUAGUGGACCAUGAUGAACCUACGAACUAUGAGGAAGCGAUGAUGAGCCCAGAUUCCGCGAAAUGGCUUGAGGCCAUAAAAUCUGAGAUAGGAUCCAUGUAUGAGAACAAAGUGUGGACUUUGGUUGACUUGCCCGAUGAUCGGCAAGCCAUGGAGAAUAAAUGGAUCUUCAAGAGGAAGACGGACGCUGAUAGUAGUGUUACUAUCUACAAAGCUCGAAUUGUCGCAAAAGAUUUUUGACAAGUUCAAGAUGUUGACUACAAUGAGAUUUUCUCACUCGUAGCGAUGCUUAAGUCUGUCUGAAUCAUGUUAGCAAUUGCCACAUUUUACGAAAUCUGGCAAAUGGAUGUCGAAACUGCAUUCUUAAUGGAUUUCUUAAAGAAGAGUAGUAUAUGAUGCAACAAGAAGGUUUUGUCAAUCCUAAAUAUGCUAACAAAGUGUGCAAAGCUCCAGCGAUCCAUCUAUGGACUGGUGCAAGCAUCUCGGAGUUGGAAUAUACGCUUUGAUGAGUUGAUCAAAUCAUAUAGUUUUAUACAGACUUGCGGAGAAGCCUGUAUUUACAAGAAAGUGAGUGGGAGCACUACAGCCUUUCUGAUAAGUAUAUGUGAGUGACAUAUUGUUGAUCGGAAAUGAUAUAGAAUUUUCUGGAAAGCAUAAAGGAGUGUUUGAAAGGAGUUUUUCAAAGAAAGACCUCGAUGAAGCUACUUACAUAUUGAGCAUCAAGAUCUAUAGAGAUAGAUCAAAAGACUUGAUAAGUUUUUUCAAUGAGUACAUACCUUGACAAGAUUUUGAUAUAGUUCAAAAUGAAACAGUCAAAGAAGGAGUUCUUGUCUGUAUUGCAAGGUGUGAAACUGAGUAAAGACUCAAAACCCGACCACGGCAGAAAAUAGAAAGAGAAUGAAAGUCAUUCCCAAUGCCUCAGCCAUAGGUUCUAUAAAGUAUGCCAUGCUAUGUACCAGACCUAUUGUAUACCCUGCCCUGUGUUUGGCAAGGGAGUACAAUAGUGAUCUAGGAGUAGAUCACUAGACAUUGGUCAAAAUUAUCCUUAGAGGACUAAGGAAAUAUUUCUCGGUUAUGGAGGUGAUAAAGAGUUCGUCGUAAAGAGUUACGUCGAUGCAAGCUUUGACACCGAUCUGGAUGACUCUGAGUCUCGAUCUAGAUACAUAUUGAAAGUGGGAGCAUUUAGCUAGAGUAGCUCCGUGCAGAGUAUUGUAGACACAGAAAUUUGCAAAAUACAUACGGAUUUGAAUGUUGCAGGCCCGUAGACUAAAAAUUUCUCUCACAGGCAAAACAUGAUCAUACCUUAUUACUCUUGGGUGUUAAUCACAUAGCGAUGUGAACUAGAUUAUUGACUCUAGUAAACCUUUUGAGUGUUGGUCAAAUGGCGAUGUGAACUAUAGGUGUUAAUCACAUAAAGAUGUGAACUAUUGGUGUUAAAUCAGAUGGCGAUGUGAACUAGAUUAUUGACUCUAGUGCAAGUGGGAGACUGAAGGAAAUAUGCCCUAGAGGCAAUAAUAAAGUUAUUAUUUAUAUUUCCUUAUAUCAUGAUAAACGCUUAUUAUUCAUGCUAGAAUUGUAUUAACCGGAAACUUAGUACAUAGCUGAAUACAUAGACAAACAGAGUGUCCCUAGUAUGCCUCUACUUGACUAGCUCGUUAAUCAAAGAUGGUUAAGUUUCCUAGCCAUAGACAUGUGUUGUCAUUUGAUGAACGGGAUCACAUCAUUAGGAGAAUGAUGUGAUGAACAAGACCCAUCUGUUAGCUUAGCAUUAUGAUUGUUAAGUUUUAUUGCUAUUGCUUUCUUCAUGACAUACAUAUUCCUCUAACUAUGAGAUUGUGCAACUCCCGAAUACCAGAGGAACACCUUGUGUGCUAUCAAACGUCACAACGUAACUGGGUGAUUAUAAAGAUGCUCUACAGAUGUCUCCGAAGGUGUUUGUUGGGUUGGCAUAGAUGAAGAUUAGGAUUUGUCACUCCGUGUAUCGGAGAGGUAUCUCUGGCCCUCUCGGUAAUGCACAUCAUAAUAAGCCUUGCAAGCAAUGUGACUAAUGAGUUAGUUACGGGAUGAUGUAUUACGGAACGACUAAAGAGACUUGUCAGUAACGAGAUUGAACUAGGUAUGAAGAUACCGACGAUCGAAUCUCGGGCAAGUAACAUAUCGGUGACAAAGGAAAUAACGUAUGUUGUCAUAACGGUUCGACCGAUAAAGAUCUUCGUAGAAUAUGUAGGAGCCAAUAUGGGCAUCCAGGUUCCGCUAUUGGUUAUUGACCAGAGAGGUGUCUCGGUCAUGUCUACAUAGUUCUCGAACCCGUAGGGUCCGCACGCUUAACGUUCGUUGACGAUAUAGUAUUAUAUGAGUUAUGUAUGUUGGUGACCGAAUGUUGUUCGGAGUCCCGGAUGAGAUCACAGACAUGACGAGGAGCUCCGGAAUGGUCCGGAGGUAAAGAUUGAUAUAUAGGAUGAUAUGGUUCGGCCAAGGGGUGAAGCCCACGAGGCUUUAGGUCGGUGCAAAAGGAGUUUUGCAGAGGCCAGGGGGCCAAACGCCGGAGACCCUGGCGUCUGGCCCUGGGCCAGACGACGAGGCCCAUGGUGUCUAGGCCAGAUGCCAAGGAUUGUGGCGUUUGGUCCUGGAGUCCGAGUGGGACUCUUGCCUUUCAGGCAAAACCGACUUUGAGGAGGCUUUUGAUCCAAGUUUCGACCCUAGGGCUCAACAUAUAAAUAGAGGGGUAGGGCUAGCACCAAAGACACAUCAAGAAACACCAAGCCGUGUGCCGGCAACCCCGUCCCCUCUAGUUUAUCCUCCGUCAUAGUUUUCGUAGUGCUUAGGCGAAGCCCUGCGGAGAUUGUUCUUCACCAACACCGUCACCACGCCAUCGUGCUGCCGGAACUCAUCUACUACUUCGCCCCUCUUGCUGGAUCAAGAAGGCGAGGACGCCAUCGAGAUGAACGUGUGCUGAACGUGGAGGUGCCGUACGUUCGGUACUUGACCGGGACGGAUCGUGAAGGUGUACAACUACAUCAACCGCGUUGAUAAAUGCUUCCUCUUUCGGUCUAUGAGGGUACAUAGACACACUCUCCCCUCUCGUUGCUAUGCAUCUCCUAGAUAGAUCUUGCGUGAUCGUAGGAAUUUUUUUGAAAUACUGUGUUCCCCAACAGAUAGGUCAACAGUGCAUUGGCUCCAACUUUUGCAUACAACCUCAGAAUGAGAUGAUUUUAAUAUCAAAUCAAUCCCUUCGACGAGACAAAGACAAUCGUAUAUAAACUUUUCUCAUAUGAGGCUGUCUUGGAGGUCUAAUCGACCGAAUAGUACUCUACAUACAAAAUAUAGUACUUCGAGCACAACUUCGGCCCUUAAGAUGAGAUCGGGUGGCGAUGGCCUAAACUUCAAAGAUGUUCACGUCAACAAUACACAACUUUUUUAUGUAGAUCCCUCCUUCAUUUGAGGCCAUCUUAAUUAAGUUCUUGAUCGUGCCAAAAUCUGGUGUCAACACAUGCCCCCCUGUUUUUCGGAAAACUUGUGUGCCGAAAAAUAACUUGCACGAAGUUUGUUCUAAGCGCGAUGUCAACACUCCAUCGGCCAUUUUUUACGAGCUUAGGACGAUAAGUAUAUACCGGCCAUUUAGAUUAGCAACUAAAGUGAAGCUAAUCGAACAUAUGAUGAUUUGGUAAUACCCUUUCAUGAUGUAAGAAAUUAUAUUGCAUCCAUGGAUUAAAAUAAGCCCAUUGAGGGUAACCAAUCAUACCUAAUGAUGAAUUCCAUGGCAUAGGCAUCAAUGUCAUAGUUGAAGAAUAUGGAUAAUGUGUGGACCGAAGAUGUUAAAACCUUCGGCUUGGUCCUUCAUAGUUUUCACUCUUUUCCUUCUUCACCUUUGCCGCACUUCUUGUAAUGGAAGCUUGCACAUAAUUCUUAUUUUGAGUACUUCUUUUGGGAACCCAUGCCAUGUUCCUUUCUUCAAGUUCUUGUGCACUAAGUUUUUGUAAUUUGUUCUUUUGCCAAUAUGAUAAGCCGAGUGAGCACCUCGGCUGUGAUUUUGUUUGAAGCAAUGGCAAUUCUUGUUUUACCUUGUGCACUCUCAACUUCUUCUAUUCGGAUUUUGCACUUCAUUGACUUGCCUCAUUGCCUUUAGUAGCCAAUGUCAACACUUUAAUUGGCUCUUUUUCAUUUGAUAUAAAGACUGAAGUAGCAAUCUUACGACCAUCUUUUUUAACACGGUAAACUUGCUUGACCACCUCUUUCUUGUUCCUUGAGCUCCGGACCGAUUCCCUAUGAUUGAAACGGUCUUUGACAUGUGAUUGUUCAAAUGUUAAUCUUUUUGGAGCUGCAUAAUGUUUCCGAGAUGGUCUAAAAUAAGAUGAAGAUUGCGCCCUUGGAUCAUACCUGUCCCAUGAUGGAUAUGGAUUUACAUGAUCAUAUGAAGGUAUCCAUGGCAUUGGCAUUGGCGGCACAAAAUAUGGAUAUGAAUAUACUGCAUUAGAAUUCUCAUUUUGCCAAUACUGAUCCUCGGGUUUGUGCCUAGAGGGUGGUCUUGAUGCUCUUGAAUUACCUGGCCGAUAAGCACUGUUCCCGUCACUUAUCUUCUGAUAUUUUUCCAAUAGUUGCGCGAAAGUGACUUUCGGCUAUUUACCUUUGUGCUUACCUCGGCCUUUGCUUUCUUUGGUUGUGCUUGCACCGAUCUUUGGAUUUUCUUAUUGCCCCCAGUACUUGGCAUUUUUUGUGCAACCUUGAUGGAAUUCCCGCCUUCAAGAAUAUUUGCAUUCUUCUCUUGAAGAACUUCUUUAAUUGAAAACUUGAUCCCAUCAUCCACAGUUUUUACCUUCUCAUCUUUAAAUGGAUCGACUUGAAGCAGCCGAUGCAAAAAAUCGUUUGCCAUCAGGACCAAUCAGAAUAAACUGGUCAUCUCUUGGUGUCUCAACAAAUUUCAGUCGUCCUUUAUGAAUGGCCGAUUUAACUAUUGGAUGAAACAUAUUGCAAUCCUCAAAAGUAUGUUUGAACGAAUGACGCAACUUACAAUACAUUCAUCCUUGAAUUGAUGGCUUGACAUGGUGAUCAAGAAUUCUUAUGUAAUUAUUUUUCAGCAACAAAUCAAAUAUUUGAUCACACAUGCUUGAAUUGAAGGUAAAAAAUUUAUUCUCUAGCCGAUCUGCUGUGAGAACGACCUUGGACUUAAGCAAGCAAAUGGUUCAUAUUUUGCAUUACCCCAUUCGGCUAUGCAUUGUGUUUUGCACUCUAUCUCCGAUGUCUUUGAAAAGGAAUUAUACUAUCAUCGGUUUUCUCAACAGAGUAUAACCUUGGAUUUAAAUUUCUGAAGUCAAAGUAGUUAGAACAUACAUGUAUCAAUUGAGACCAUGCGUAAGCCAAGUAUGAAGCAAGCAAAGUUACCCAAUUAGAUAUGAACUUUAAAUAAAGCAAUGGGAAUUUUUUUUGGCUGCAAUAAUAAGUCACUAUCGGUCUUUAUAAGUGGCACAAUAGUUGACCGAUUUGUUCUAUAAAAAAUUAUUGCUAACAAGUAAAUUACCCUUCUUCAUUGGUCUUUCAAAAUUACAUAUGAGAAUUUUUCUUAUAGAAGCAUCAACAAUAAAGUUGCGACCAAAUCGGAAGA